GGUUGUCUCCAACUGUUCCUUAGUCGUUUCCAAUUGUUUCUUGAGCCUCACGUUCUCACCAUUCCGCCUUUUCAAACUCUCAAAGUUUUCAUCCUUAAGGCGGAUGGCAUCAGCCAAAGCUUUGCUCAUUUUUUUGGUGUCAUUCACAAGCUGCUUAUUCUCUUUAAACUUUACCUUGUACCGCUCGACCUCUCGUAAUCUGUCAUUGUACUCGGUCAUGACCUACAUGACAAGAUGAUUGUCACUACCAAGAAAAAGAGGGGAGAAAGCAAAGAAAUGACAGAGUAACACUUACAUAAGAAGAUAGCCUUAUCAUCCGGUCACGAUCUGAUUCGUUCUCAUCUAGCGGCUCACCAAGCUCAUUAACAGUGGAUCGACGUCCUGCCAGGCAAUUAUUGACAUACCUAAAACUACUUGGCUGUAUGGCAACUUUCAAGUUCUUCCAAUAAAUGUUGCCAACCUCUUCCUUGUACUUUCUUUUAUGGCUAGAGCUAGGGCCACCUUCUUGGUCAGUAGACUCCAUGGUUGGAGAAAAUAUGGGAUUGAUGGUAAAAAGAGGAGGCAACAAUCGUCUUUCCUCCUAUACAACUAUGGCAGCAGCACACCCGAUGGCCUCAGCUUCAGCCUUUCUUGAGGCAGCAAUCUUGAGGACCUUCUCUUGUGACUUAGGUUUAGGGGUUGGCCUCACCCGAUGCUUACGAGCUCUCUUGUGAAACAAAAUGUCGUCUACGGGAACUAACAUGGGUGCUUUCUCUUUAUUGGCACUAGUCUCCCCUUUCUUGCCCACUUUCUCCACUGAACAAGAAAAAUUAAAGUAAGGAAUGCAACUUUGUAAAAGAAAGAGGGGACGAAAUGAAAGACACAACUUACUUGCUCGUCUCUGGCACUCCGACACUAGGGGUUGGAAACUAUACUUUCGAAAUAAGGGUCGUAGCUUGCCCAAAUGUCUAUCCUCUUUAGGCACCCUCAACAUCUUCUCUACGUCAGCUAGCUUCCGUCCGGACAGCUUGAUGGUUUCUCGCGUCACUGCACGGAGAAAAAUGUUAGAAGCAAGAGAAAAUCACAACAAAUAGCAAAUAAUGCAAACAAGGGAUACAUUACAACCUACAGUCUGGAAGUGAGUAGGAACACGUCGCUCAGGCGUUACACCUUUAGCAUACUCCCAAUCAUUUUAAAGAAAGCACCAACAGUUUUUCCAAGUGCAAUACACAUUUUUCUUACCAAAGACAAUACGCUCUCUCUCACUCCAACAUGCACACUCGGUAUACCUAGUGCAUGCUUUCACCGGGCGCAUCUUAUAGCAGUAGCGCCACUGAUGAAAGGAAGGCUCACCUAACCCACAUUCCAUCCAAAUAAUAUAAAACCCGAUCAAGGUAUCCCAAAAACCAGGGUAGAGUUGGCUAGACGCAUAUCCAAUGAAAGACAACAUCUGUUGCAACCACGGGUGCAAAGGCAGCUUCACCCCUAAAAUCAAUAAUAUCUGGGUAUAGAACAUAACAUGACCUUUGGGCGGUUUAUAGGACAAUUCUUCAUGAUGCACCAAACGCAUUCCUACACUACGGGGGAUACAACAUGACUGCCUUAGGGCCUCAAGCUGUUUUUCGCUAUCUAACAAGUUUUGCACUAAAUGGUCUGCUGUGAACUCAAAGCGAAAUAUGGGUAUGGCGUCACAAACAACCCCCUCACCCAAUCUCGAAUUUUUUUUGUACAAGACUUCAACAAAGGCCCUGAAGACUCCAACAUUGCAAGCUCAAACCUAGAGUUAGAGUUAGGGGAGCCCUCAUCACUAGGACUUCCAAACUCUGAUAUCUACAACAAACAAAAACAAACUUUAUCACUGCAUGAAAGAUCAAAACAUAAGGAAGUUCCUAGGGCAUGAAAAAAAACUCAAUCAGUUCAUUAUGUUCUCAACCAAAUACAUGAACACUCAAACAAUUCAACAAGAAUGAAAGUAUGCGAUCUAGUAGAGAAGACCACCAACCUGAAGAUAGUGCAAAGUAAUGCCGGAAUCUCUGGAAUCUCUCACAACUAUAAAAGCACUCUGUCUCCAAAAAUCACUACAAAAUGAGCAAAUGAAGACAAUGAAAAGAGUGUAAACUUAUCAUUCUUAUAGGGUUCAACAUGGUCAAAUAAAUUCAAAAUUCAAAAUUCAAACCAUGAGAAAACCCCACAUGGAAAGUCUUCAAACUUCCACACAAUCUAGGGAGUUUUCAAAUUUCAAACUUGCAGCACCCCCUCCCCCUCUCAAGAAAAAUGGGGGGGGGGAGGGGGUGGGAGGAGGUGAACACAUUAGAUUCAUCAAAGGAGUUCAACCAUAAUUCUCAAAAGCUUCACACACUCUUGAUCAAGACAGUGUGAAGCAAAACCAAUUUAUGGUGCCAACAAGAGCUUUAUCAAUAGAGGGCAAUCACAAUUCUCAAAAGCUUCACACACUUUUGAUCAAGACAGUGUGAACCAAAACCAAUUUAUGGUGCCAACAAGAGCUUCAUCAAAAGAGUUCAACCACAAUUCUUAAAAGCUUCACAAACUCUUGAUCAAGACAGUGUGAGGCAAAAAACCAAUUUAUGGUACCAACAAGAGCUUCAUCAAUGGAGGGCAACCACAAUUCUCAAAAGCUUCACACACUCUUGAUCAAGACAGUGUGAAGCAAAGUCAAUUUAUGAUGCCAACAAAAACUUCAUCAAUUGAGGGCAACUACAAUUCUCAAAAGCUUCACACACUCUUGAUCAAGACAGUGUGAAGCAAACCAAUUUAUGGUGCCAACAAGAGCUUCAUCAAAGGAGUUCAACCAUAAUUCUCAAAAGUUUCACACACUCUUGAUCAAGAUAAGCAAAACCAAUUUAUGGUGCCAACAAAAGCUUCAUCAAUGAAGGGCAACUACAACUCGUAGAAAGCUUCACACACUCUUGAUCAAGAUUGUUCGAAGCAAUUUCAAUUUAUAUGGUUCAUCCAAACCUUCGACUACUACAAGGUGUGGCUUGCAUCACAAUCUCUUACUCAAUUUUGUGGAAGUAAAAUUUGUAUAUGUUGUCUCUCCCACAUUUUCAAAUUUCUAAUUUCCCAAAAAAAAAAAGGAAAUUGGGAAAUUCAACAAAGCUUCAUCAAUGGAGGACAACUACAAAUUCUCAAAAGCUUCACACUAUCUUGAUCAAGAUAGUGUGAAGCAAAAUCAAUUCAUGGUACCCAACAAAGCUUCACCACAAAAGCUUCACCAACAAAAACUUCAUCAAUGGAGGACAACUACAAAUUCUCAAAAGUUUCACACUAUUUUGAUCAAGAUAGUGUGAAAAUCAAUUCAUGGUACCCAACAAAAGCUUCAAAUCCGAAGCUUCACCUACAAAGCUUCAACUCCAAAGCUUCGCCUACAAAAGCUUAAACACAAAAGCUUCACCCACAAAACUUCAACUCCAAAGCUUCACCUACAAAGCUUCAACACAAAAGCUUCACCCACAAUAGCUUCACCUACAAAAGCUUUACCCACAAAAGCUUCACCCACCACCAAAGCUUAAUAUAAAAUAUAUAUAUAUAUAUAUAUAUAUAUAUAUAUAAAUUUUCAGAAAUUUAAAAAUUCAAAAAUUCAAAAAUUCAAAAAUUCAAAAAUUCAAAAAUUCAAAAAAUCGAAAGAAAAAAAAAAUUGCCUAGGCCUCAUCUUCUUUGGGCCUAACAACUUUCAUAACAAAUAUAUAUGAAGGAGGAGUUUUGGGCUACCAUGUAAAAAGGAAAUGCCUCAUUCGUCAACUCCCUCGACCGGAGACUUGGGGGACUCCUACCAUAUGUUACUGCACCUUGAUACUCGGAAGUCUCACGACCACUUAGUGACUUGGAUUUUUCAAGUCUCCAAUCGAGAAGUUUUCCUCACUCGGGAAAUUAAGGGAGCACUACCUCAACAUACAUGCUUCACUCACAAAGCUUCAACAUAUAAGUUUCAACAAAAGAAAAAAAUUCAAAGAACUUAGUGAAGAAGACUUUGGUGUAUUUAACACAAUACGUUGAAAUGAAGCAAAACUUAUUUAUUAACAUCUCCGAUAAGUUACAAAUAUGUACAUAUACAUGAGUCAAAAUAAACAAACAAGAGAGAACUUUCAUAAAGGUUGCUCAUGAAAAGUCUCAGCAGUCGGCAGAGCCCUAGAAAGAUAAGGCAUCAGAGGGUGAUCAUUCAGAGCCUUAGUACUGGACAGAACCCCAGAAUGAGGAGGCAUCGGAGGUUGAUCAUUUGGAGCUUCAUUACGCGGUACAACCCUAGAAGAUGAAGGCAAUAAAUGCCUUUGGAACAAACCCACAAACCUCUGAUGAUCAAAUAAAAUCUGACCAUUAGAUUCAUGCAUCUGGUCAAACUUACUUUUCAUGUUUGUAGCAUAGUCAUGUGCGAGCAUGUGCAACUGUUUAUUCUUAUGCUUGAGCCCUCUAAUCUCCUGUUUGAGACUUAUCACUUUAGCCGCCAAUGAUUCAACUUGGCGGGUUCGAGCAAAUAAAUGUUGGGCCAUAUUAGACACAGAACCUGUACACUGAACAUUAAGAGCCAGAUAAUCCUUAAUAACCAACUCAUCAGACCGUUUGGAAAGUAGUCUGUUAUCUUUAGGAGUGAGAAGGUUCCUGGACACCACCGCAGUGGUCAUAUCAUUCUUCAUCACAGAGUCCCCAACGGUAAGAGUACCAGUAGAGGAUAAGAAGGAUUGGCGCCAUAUGUUGUCUUGAGAAGGCAUGGCUACCUCUACACCAAAGUUCAAGUCAAAAUGACGGUUGGAUGGGCCAAACAUUUUCAGAAAUGAUGAAGGAGAAAUGAGGUCCAAUAAAUCUCUAAAGUACGAAAAUAAAGGGAAAAUUCUUACAAGCAAUAACUCUCUAAACGUACUUCUUACACACAAUUGGUGCCCUUAUAAAAGAAAAGGCAACAUGGCCGUUUGUUCAAAAAUCGAAGAGGCAACACUCUCCGGAUUUCGAGAAGCAGAUUUUCUUGAGUAAAAUAUGUCGACAAUUCCCACACGCAACAUCAGCACCUCAGGUACUGCAGAUAACUUUACCAAAGAUCUCUGACAAAGUUUAGACACAUAAAUUUUGAAGGUCCAGCUACCCUACCAUUACCCACAAGGGUAAAGAAACAUCACCACUACUUGAUAACUGGAAAGUCCUUGUGUGUGCCAACCUCCGUGCUCCGUGGCAAGACCGACUGGCAAAAAUGCCCAACCUUUACUCACAUCGAGAAAACACUCCCAGUAGGAUUACUUGCUCAAAAAUCGAAGAAGCAUUGCUCCCCGAAUCUCGAGAGCCAAACUCCCACCAAGAUGGCUUCCUAAAAAAUCGGAGAGGCACCACUAACUGACUAUCGAGAGCCAGACUCACAACAGGAUUGUUUUCCCAAAAAUCGAAGAGGCACCGCUCUCCAAAUCUCGAGAGCCUGACUCCCAACAGGAUUGCUUUCUUAAAAAUUGAAGAGGCACCGUUCUCCGAAUCUCGAGAAUCAGAUCCCCGACAAGAUUGCUUGUUCGAAAACCGAAGAGGCACUGCUCUCCAAACUUCGAGAGCCAGAUUUCCUUGGAUAAAGCUUAUCUGCAAUCGUCACAAGCAACAUCGGCUUUCCAGAUACUACAGACCACUUUUUCGAAGUGCUCUGAAAAAGUUAAAACACGUGAAUCUUGCAACUCCCACUACAUUGCUAUGACUGAGAAGGGUAAAGGAAUAGCGUUACUACUAGCUAUUGGGACAAUUUCUAUAUAUGUCGACCUCCAUCCUCCACAACCAGGCAUACCUGUAAAUAAAAAAAAAUGCUCAACUUUUAUUCACAUCCAAGAAGGCACUCCCAAUAGAGUCUCUCGAAAUACUCAGCUUCUUCCCCCUCCCCCCCCCCGGCGAUAAUACUUAUGCAAACAAGUCACACCAAAGUAAGAGUAUCUCAUAUCAUGAGGGUUAAAAGAAAAAGUAUCUCAUAUCGUGCUUUUUCCCUGUAUUUUCCUUUGCCCUUACUCUUACCUGCAGGACAAAGAGAAAAAACAUAAUCAGUCAGAACCUAAAAUCAAACUUCCGAUCUGGAACUGAUUGCCCGAAAUAUUUGCAUGGUUGUUUGCCUAACAUUGCUCUCGAGUACUCAUCCUCAAUUGUUGUCAAGGUCAUAAAGUCCUUCGGCAAAUACCUCAGAACAGUUAAUAUGAUAUUGACGUUUCACACUGAAGCUGCCACGCAUGGAUGAGUUGCUGAGAAGUAGUGCUUUGAAGAACCAUUUAAAUGCAAAGGUUGAAUUCCAUUCCUACAUCGAGGACAAAUGUUGUAAGAGAUUGAAACAUAAUGAUCAAUGAUGAGCUAGAACAUAUCACUACAACACGAUGCCCUUCCUGCAGAACCACACAACCCAGACAGAGGAGUCUAAAUCAAAUCCAAACCCAGCAUCGCUGCCCUAUCCGAAGAACUUGAGAAUCUUCAACAACCUUUUGCUGACACCAUCACCAAAUAGCAAAGCUUCGCCAUACCACACCCACUACUUUAUCAACAGCAAAAGUAUCCCAUAUCAUUAGGGUCGAACGUACUCUAGAUUUGAUGGACUUGUUUUGACCCUUAAAUUCUUAAGUCGGCCUUAUACUUUGGAGGAAACCAGAAAACCCUUCAACCCAAUUCAAGAAUAAGCUUGUGGAAAGUUACUUCUUCAAAAGUAAAAGUAUCUCAUAUCAUAUCUUCUCCAUUUGCUUCUCCUUAUCCAUGUUGCUGUUUACGACACAAUGAGAAGGAGAACAAUCAACCGGAAGCCGAAGUCGAACCUCUGAUCCAGGUUGCUUGCUUGGAAGUCUGAUUGCUUACCUUGUCUGUUACCUCAUUCGGCAAAUCUCCUAACUCGGCGACUUGGAUGACUCUUACUAUAAGGUUUGUAUCGCACUUGACCAAGCCAGAAAUUACAAGUAAGCUUCAAUUGAUACAUUACCUUGUGCAUCUUCAUCGAUUAAAGAUACCACCCUUGGAUGAAGGAAAAGUACUUCCAGAGAAGAUGCCACAUCUACAUAUAAGACAGAUAAGGCAAGUGAAAAUGAUACCACACUUCGGUACUUAGAAGUUUUGUGAUUACUUAAUGGCUUGGAUCUUGCAAGUCCCCAAUCGAGAAGCUUCCCUCACUCGGGAACUUAAAGGAGCACUGUUUGUACCAUACUUGACCAACCCCGAAACUACUAAGCACCGGUCAACAUUAUACCACCAAGGACCCACAAGAGUCUCCCUCCAACCAGGAGACCAAUCAGCGACACAUGUCAACAUCAGAGACCAAUCAUAACGCGACACGUGUCGAUAUCAGAGGUCAAUCACAACACGACACGUGUCAAUGUCAGAAUGAAACUAGAAACUCACUUCUAUAAAUAGAGAUCAUUCUCUCACAAUAUUUUCUAAUGUUAUUUGUACUAAAUCAUUCGCUAGUACUCACUAAAGGAGAGCUUGAACCUAUGUACUUGUGUAAACCCUUCACAAUUAAUGAGAACUCCUCUACUCCGUGGACGUAGCCAAUCUGGGUGAACCAUGUACAUCUUGUGUUUGCUUCCUUGUCUCUAUCCAUUUGCAUACUUAUCGACAUUAGUGACCGGAGCAAUCUAGCGAAGGUCACAAACUUAACACUUUCUGUUGUACCAAAGUCCUCACUGAUUUUGUGCAUCAACAUGACUCAUUUUGAUGGAAUUCUGAUGUUGAUGAAAAAGACCAUAUAUGCAUGUUUUGACUAGUUAAGAGACUAAUGGUCAUGGCAAGUGGCCUUUUACCACAAUGGUGGAAAGGUGUUGAGCCUUUCCAUAGCAGCAUUGGUUCAAAUCUUGUUCGGUGUCCAACAUCCUAAUCUAACAAAUCUAUCAUUUGACAAUAAAAAAGAGACUACUGGUCAUGAAUUUUUAGAACAUCUCUAAAGAAGAUGUCAAAUUUGAAACAUCAAAUUGAUAUUUGAUGGCUUAUGUGGCGAAUUGACAUUUUGUACAAUUUUUUUAUUCACUCGAUAUGUUAAAUGAUAAUUCCAUUCUAAAUUUUUUUUUAUCACUUUGUAGGGUCCAUUUAUUGAGGCAACCAAUCUAAUUCUUAGAAUACACAACAACAUUUAUUAUAUGCAUUAAAUGUAAUAAAAAAAAAUACUAAAUGCAUUUGACAGUAGAAGACUUUGCCUUCAAUUGACUCAACGCCAUGUAGGAAAUUGAAGGCUCAGUUGGAGAGAGUGUGCUGCCAAUUUUUACUAUUAUAUACUUAUACGACAGUUUUGACAUCUCCUUUAGCGAUACUCUUAGUUGAAGAAUCAUUACUCCAUUGAGUUAAAGUUGAUGAACUAUUUCUACAAUUUUCUCGGAUUUCAUUUGUUGUAGAAGAGAUCUAAUGUAAGUUCCAGCUAUGUGAUGGUUAGCCGUCCAUAUACACAUAGCGACACUGUGAAAGUGAUAGUGUAAAGGGAUUACAUUUGAGAGAAACUCUAAUUUGUGGAACAUUGAAUUUGUGAAACAUCAAAAGCUUGAGAGAAACUAUUUUUUUAAUUAUAAUUAAGAUAAAUAAAAUAUAUCAAAUUAAAACUUUAAAUAGUCCUGGAAAACCCUUGAAAGAAAAACAAAACAAGACAUUACAAAAAAAUUGAAAAUUAAUUUUAAGACUUAAAAGGUGUUUUUAACCUAGGAAAUUUUUGAAACAAAUUGAUCCUAUUUUGCAACGACGAGUUGGACUCAUCUCUUUUUUUCCUGUUCAGAAAGGUAUUUUGAACCAUCACUGAAACACUAUUUACACUAAAAUUCACCUUUUUGAUAUGCUCGUUCAGCCUUACAUCAUACACAAGUAAUAUUUAGUCAUUAAAACCUACAUAGUCUAUAUUUUAUCAACCAUCACGCGUGAAUGACUGAGCUUUACAAAAUCAUGCACAAAUAGAGACCAUUUUUUAAGUAUAAUUGGUUUGUGUCCCUCCAUUCUUGGAGGGUGGGGAGGGUUAUGCAUUUGCUGGUUAUUUUAUGUUGGGGGAUAGAAACCCAAUUGGGGUUCACUUUCUUUUGGGAUUUGGACAAAUGCAGACGGGGGCCUCAUGUUAUGUUCUCAAACAGGAAAGGGGUGAUUCAAGUGGUCCCAUUUGGCACUUGCUGUAUAAAAAUAAGAUGCUGGGGAGAGAUGGACUGAUGGAAGGGAAAGCUGAAUCUUUGUGUAAUCAGAUCUCAAACCUACGAGUUUUCAUUAAAGGGAGGGCUCUAUGUCCUUGCAUGUGGACCAGGACAAGGUGAUGUAAUUUGUCUAUAAAUGAUGAAACAGUCGAGUUGUGGGAAAUAUGUAGAUCGAUUGACAUGAAACCUUUUUAUCUUGUCCAAACAGUCAUCAAAUUCUAAUAUGUUGAAAAGCUGUGUGGAGAAUGGAUAUAAUUAGAUGACUAGAUUUCUUCAUAAGUAAUCCAUUUACGUACCUUAGUUAGUGGGGUGUAUAUUGUUUUUCUGCUUCUUCAUAAUCCCAAAUGAUCGUAUAACUAAUAUGGUCAUUGUUUGUACCAUACUUGACCAAUCCCGAAACUACUGAUCACGGGUCAACAUUAUACCGUCAAGGACCCAGAAGAGUUUCCCUCCAACCAGGAGGCCAAUCACAGUGCGACACGUGUCGACAUCAGAAGUCAAUCACAGCGCGACAUGUGUCAACAUCAGAAGCUAAAUGAAACUAGAAACUUUCUUCUAUAAAUAGAGAUCAUUCUCUCACAAUAUUCCUAAUGUCAUUUGUACUAAAUCAUUCACUUGUACUCACUAAAGGAGAGCUUGAACCUAUGUACUUGUGUAAACCCUACACAAUUAAUGAGAAUCUCCUCUACUCCGUGGAUAUAGUCAAUCUGGGUGAACCAUGUACAUAUUGUGUUUGCUUCCCUGUCUCUAUCCAUUUACAUACUUAUCCACACUAGUGACCGGAACAAUCUAGCGAAUGUCACAAACUUAACACUUUGUUAUACCAAAGUCCUCAUUGAUUUUGUGCAUCAACAGUUAUGAUAAGCCAAUGUUCUUUGAUCACAAACUGUUGAGAUGUGAGUGAUUAUGUGUUGACUGGUAGCCAACAAAAUACACUAAGAUAUUAUGAUACAUUUAUCGACAAUAUAGGUACUCUUUAUCAACAAAAUAUGACAUCCUGCACUAUAUGUACAAGACUAACCAUGACUCAUAAAUCCUAAAGCUACAAAGCAAGGCGCACCUCUUCAUGUGGAAACUUGGCAUACCAAUUCAUCCAAAUUACAAUAUGUAGUAUCGUUGAGUCUAUAUGUUGUAAUGUAAGUGAAUUGGUGAUAUAACGUGAUAUUAUUACUGUCAUACUAAAUUUUAUUAACAAAAAUUAAGAAUAUUGUUUUGUCCAAUCAUAACUAUUUUUGUUGACGUUUGCAUGGCACAACCAAAAUCGUAUGUCACGUUGCACUUAUUCUCUAAAGCAAACCUAACUCACUUUAAACUCCUACUGCACUCUCCACGUAUAUUUCAAGUACUUUUUAAGAAGUUAUUUGUAUCAUAUAGAAAACCUUACUCAGAUCGCUACAAUUAGAAGAAAUUAUUAGGUAGUAUAUAUAGGGGUGUGAUAUCCACACAUCUUUUUUUACUUCUCACACACCCUUCUAAUUUUUGGCCGUCGGAUCGGAUAAAAUGAAGAAGAUCAACGAACAUAAAUUAACAAGGGGUGUGUGAGAAGUAAAAAAGGGUGUGUGGAUAGCACUAUCCACACAUCCCUUUUUACCACACAUCCUUUUUUACUUCUCACACACCCUUUGAUAAUUUAUGUCCGUUGAUCUUCUUCAAUUCAUCCGAUCCAACUGUCGAAAAUUAAAAAAGUGUGUAAAAAGUAAAAUGGGAUGUGUGGAUAUCACACCCCUAUAUAUAUUUAUUUGAUGGUCUGAUGGAUGAUGGAUCUCUGUUCGCAAGAGUAAUAAUUCUUCACAAGUUCGCAUCAGAAACAUUGUUAUCAUGUCCUUUAUCUAGUUGUCAUCAUCAUAAGUUAAGGAAAUACCAAAGUAUAUUAGCUUUAGAUACGUUUAACAAAACUAUUCUCUUUUUGGUUUAUAUAUAACCGCCCAACAGUACGUAUUAUUAUCUUCGAAUAUCAUGUGUACGCGUACAUUAGAAAAAUAAAAAGUAAAACAAUUGUUUCUCACAACGGAAAUUCCUAUUGAGUAGUUCGAUAUGUUUGCUCGUAUUAGCAAUAUUAUUUGUUAUCUGGAAAUAGUUGAUGAACCAUUAAGUUCAAUUGAAAAAAAAAAAGUAGGAAGAAUUAAUAGUGGGUUUUACAAAUAUGUUUUCAAUUAAUCAUGAACAGAAACUCAACCAGUAAAAGAAGGAAUGAGUAGAGGAGACUGAUUGUGCCAAAUGAUCCUCCUACUCCAAGCUGCACUGGUUUGUGUGCGUACUCUUAUGAAUUGCAGACUUGCAGAGAGUUGUCCAGCUGCUCUGGCGUAUAUACGUACUUCAAGCUUCACUUACACCAUGUAUGGUAGAGAAUCCCACCACAAAGAAAGAUCACACAACACAAAAAAGGGAUCAUCAAUCAUGAUUGCUUAGAUGAUAGAGUGCCGUGUACAUCAUAAGAUAUAGUUUUCUUUUCGUCCUUUGUGCGGUUACAAACUUACGAGUUUUCGUACUCGAAUUUCAUGUAUUUAUUAAAUUUUCAAGACAAAAGUAGAGCCUUGUACACUGAAUUUGCAAUUAACAAGUCAUUAAGGUGAUCUUUAGACAUGCAGAGGUAAACUUAGCGUCGAAUUUAAGCUAUGUUUUAGCUCUUCAAAAAUUAGAUUUUGUAAAGAAUAGUUCAUGUCGUCUUCAUCUCCAACAUUGGAUGGCUAUAUUUCAAACCCCUUAAUAUAUGUUAUAUUGUAGUGCUAAGUAAAAAUUAUGAUACAACACAUUAUAGAAAUAUAAAUCAAUUUUAAGGAAAUAUGAGGGAGGCUUGUAGGCUAUGACUCACUAAUCAUGAUGCGGGAGCCAAGGCUUUAAAAAAUUAAAAAAAAAUUGAAAACUUCUCGUUGGCAUUGGAAAUUCAAAUAAUAAAGGCAUUGUAAUUUAUUUUAAUGACAUAGGAACUUGUUAAGUCAUUUCUAGAGAGUUUUUUAGGAAGUUGUGGUCUAUUUAUGCUUCUUUAUCUUUAGUUCCUUUAAAUAUUGAUGUAUUAGAAGCCAUUGCUAGACUUGAAUGAAUUAAAAUAUAUUUUGCUUUGUGCAAUUGAAGUGAGUGAUUUCUCCUUCCCCAAUCAAGCAUUUGGCUUGGUCAUCCAUGAUUAACGACGUGAGAUAGCUCCGUUGCCCCUGGUUGAGCGAAUCCCAGGUUAUCUAUUCCCUUCUCCUCGAUACCCUUGGUUCUGUCCUGCAUCAAAUGGCAUUAGAGCAGGUUUUCCGCUGCAGUUGAAAAUCAUGGCUAUGAUUAUCAAUCCGUUUCAAGAUCACAUCGUUGAAGAGAUUAGUUUCAUCGAUUGGAAUUCACCACCAAUUUAUGAUGAAUACGUUGAUGAAGACGAAGUCAAAAAUCAUUUUGUGAAUGAAGUUAAUGACAUCGAGCCUUCCAUGCAUCAAAUGGUAAUCUGUUACUGCUAUUCAUCUUUUGGAUGCUACAAGGAUCUUCAAAGUACUCCAAGCAUGAUGCAAAUGGAGAUGCUUCAGACCUACAAGGAAUGGAUGAUGGCAAGGUGCUACUGAUGUCCCAAAUGAAUUUUGAAAAGAAUUUCAGACAGUCUACAAUUUUUGUGACUUCAACAUGGAUGGAACAAGGCGAUGUCCCUCCUUCCUCAAGCCCAGCAAUGAUGCUUAAAGAGGCCACUCAUGUGAUAAGUUGCGGUUAUGAAGACAAAACUGAAUGGGGUUUAAAGAUAGGUUGGAUUUACAAAUUUAUCAUAGAGAGCAUUCUAAGGGGUUUCAAGAUGCAUUCUAGUGUGGUUGGAGGUCAUUUUCAAUCAAAAAGAAGGAACCAGGGCCUACAACGUUUGAAAGAAUGGGGAAAUGGUAUUUUCAUGAAUAUUUUGUGGCUUGGAACACUUUGAUCGCCGUGAACUUCAUUUUACUAUUGUGGUUGUUGUGGAAGAAUCUGCAAGGUCAUCCCAAAGAUCGAGGAAGACCAAAUGGAACUUGAGGACGAGUUUUCUUCGAGAAUGGGAGAAUGAUGCGGGAGCCAAGGCUUAAAAAAACAAAAAAAUAAACACAAAUUGAAAACUUCUCGUUGGCAUCGGAAAUUCAAAUAAUAAAGGCAUUGUAAUUUAUUUUAAUGACAUAGGAACUUGUUAAGUCAUUUUUAGAGAGUUUUUUAGGAAGUUGUGGUCUAUUUAUACUUCUUUAUCUUUAGUUCCUUUAAAUAUUGAUGUAUUAGAAGCCAUUGCUAGACUUGAAUGAAUUAAAAUAUAUUUUGCUUUGUGCAAUUGAAUUGAGUGAUUUCUCCUGCCCCAAUUAAGCAUUUGGCUUGGUCGUAUGAGUGAAUCCACGAUUAGCGACGUGAGCUAGCUUCGUUGCCCCUAGUUGACGAAUCUCAGGUUAUCUAUUCCCCUCUCCUCGAUACCCAUGGUUCUGUCCUGUAUCAAAUCAAGUGCGAGAUUUCUCCUCUAGAUCAUUGAUUAAGGAGUUCAUAUUUCUCUGAGCUUAUCAUUUAUAAGAAAGAGAUGUUGUAACAAAGUAUCCUAAAAUGAAAUCCUUGGUACCGAAAUGAUUAGUCACUUCUUCAUUCAGUACAGUUUUUUUUUCUUUUCUUUUUUUUUUUUUGCUUCAAAAGGGAUCAUGGCUUCGCCACGGUAAUCUACCUUUUUGAAGGCCAGAAAGACUCACAAAGGCAUUUCAGCCUCUCUGGCCCAUCGUGCUAUUCACAAGUGCAAGGAAUUGAACCCAAGAGAUACCGUGUGAAAUACAUAUCUUAAAUUUAUCCCCAACCACUAGACCACCCUGUGGUGGUAUCAUUCAGUAUAGUUAAUUUGAUAUUUAAUUGAUAUUUCCAACUCAUUUAGUUAUAUACUUUAGUUUAGAUUAAAUUUCCAAACCACGUAGUUCUUUUCCCAAUUGACUUGAUCUGGUCACGGAUUAGUAAUAGAACUUUGAAAUUAUUGAUAAUUAUGUGACAGAGAAAAUCCUUAAAACAGCCCGCCAGAAGAUAAGUGCUAGUUAAUAGAGGUAGGAGCAAACAUUCAUGAAAUGAAAUGUCAGGUUCAUCAGUCUUCUCCCCCACUAUAACUAAUUGAGCUGUAUGUUGAUUAAUUAAGAAGAAUCAAGUAGUUAGGCCCUUCCAUCAUCUUCACCUACUACUAUAAGUUCCAACAAUUAUAAUACUAAUCUAAUUGGGCCAACAGAAAAUUAAUGUAACACCUCAUUCACAACGUACCAUAACUAAUUUAAUGUGAUAUUCUGCAUCCAAUAGGAAGUUUUCAAAUUGAAAUCCAACUUGCUUUAUAUGUAUAGGGUGAAAACGUCAAACAUGUUUGGUGGGUUUUAAGUCAGAUUUGGGUAUUUUAAGUUGGGUUAGAAGGUUUAUUAGUUUUCAGCCAUUAGAUUAAUGCAACGGGCGCGUAGAGUGGUUAGUUUUCUAUUACAUUUUUAACUAGUUAGCGCUUGAACACUCUUGCAUAAUACGUAACAAAUAUAAUGUUUGGUUCAAUAUCGAGGUUGAGGAUGAGAAUUAUAAAUUUUCCAGUUUGAGAUAUAUGGUAUUCGAAUUAAAAGUUUUCUAUCAGAAUUAAAACCAGAUCAAGGAAACAAGAAUAUAGUUGAUAGCCAACUAGGUUAAGUUGGGCAGUUUUGUGUCUUAGAAGAAACGCCGACUCUCGUUCACAUCCAUAUUGAGUUAAGAAAUUAAAGUACAAAAUGCCUAUGAGUCGAACAAAGGAACGUUGAUCUUGGGAAAUUUACAACAGGACGAGAACCUGAAAUCAUCAUUUCAAAUGUGUAGGUUGUUAUAUAUGUGCAUCACAUGACCUCUAUGAUAGCAGUGUUUAUCUAGGAUGCGUGAGAGUGUGCAACGGGCUAGGGCAGCUUGACCAUGCCCAGUUUAAUGUCAACCUAGCACAACACAUCAUGAUUUUUUGAGGACUAGGGCAAGCAUGGGACACGCCAUGGCGUGAGACACGAUUUUCGUUGCACGUCUCUGACGCGGGCACGAGCUCAUUGUGAGCUGGACUCGUGCGAAACCCUACCUACCUCCAAACUACAUGCAACUAAAACGUAGUUUGAAUUAUAUGAUAUCCAAAAUAUCAGAUUUAUAGGUUUACCCUCCCUAUAGCUGGAUGACAUCCCGACUACGGGAGAGGCAAGAAUUCAUUCCAGGGAUUUCAAGUAAUUGACCGUGUCAAGGAAGAGUUGGAGAAUAUUUGCCCCGGUGUAGUGUCAUGUGUGGACAUUCUCGUGGUGGCUGCGAUAGACGCCGUUCUGAUAUUCACUCUUAAAAUAAUUAGUUCUCCGCUUCAACUUUAUUUUACUUUACUUUCCACACACCAUUUCUGGCUUCGUCACUGUUUGGACCUGAUUUUACACAUCGGCCUAAGCAAUCGAGGCCGUUGAGUAAGCAUGGUUCUCAACCGUUGGAUAAGAAAGUUUAGAUAUUAUUGUUAAGAGAUAAUAUUAUGAUUUUUAAUCAUAAUAAUUAUUUUUUUUAUAAGUUAUCCCGGUUUUUUAUGCAAAAUAAAUGGGAUGGAGGCAAGUAGAGUUGUGAUGGGGACGUGAGCUUUGAAUCAUGUUGGUUUGUUUUGCUGGACAUGCAUGCAUGGGAUGUAAAGAUAAUGAAGUGAUAGGGGAUAAAUCCAAACAUGCCAAAACGUGUAAUUUGCAAAAGAAUUGUGCAAUAUGGAGAUUCUAUCCUAAUGCAUGGUUUUUUGGGUUUGGUUUUGUGCACGUGGCAUGCGACAAUGGAGAUGAUGGUUUUGCAUGGUGAUGGCAAUAUGGGUUUAAAGGUUUCUCAUGUUUUUUUAAUAAGAAGCCUAGGUGGGUUAGAUCUCUAGUGAGAUGUGAUAAAGCCUAGGUAGGCUUUAUUUAUCUGAAGGAUAUGUGCGGCGUAUUUGAUACGGGAUCAGGGUCAAUUCCACAAAAUAGAGUUGCAGUUGGACUCUACAAAAUUAUUUGGCCGCGUCACACAACAUUUGCUCCUAUAAAUACAGAGAUAGUGGCAACGGAAGAAAGACCCCUGCAAAUCAAUACAAAAUUGCCCUGCGCAAAUUCUCACAACUUGUGAUUUUUCUUUUUCCUUUUUCGCUGACACAUCUUCCGUUGGCGUCAACAGCACUGUGGAAGCAACCGGUGAUAUCUUAAGUCGGCAUAGAUAGCUCUGUCACCGUAGAAUCAAUCGGUCUCGCAGUAUCUUCCGUUGGCAUCAACAGCACUGCGGCGAGAACGGUUAAUUACCUAUCCAAGUCUCGGUCGAGAAGGGUUUCUGAACCCUUAUUGGUCGAUGUCAUCUCAUCAGCCUUCUCGGCGAAGUGAGGUGUUACACGUUAUUACGUUCGGCAUAUUGAAAGCCGAAUUUGAUAUUGAACUUCGUAAGAAUAGUAACCUUGUCUUCAGGUUCGAGAGCCCAAGAGGCCGAGACGUGUUCCUUUCUCGGCCGCAAUCGCAAGACGCAGAAGUCAGCCGCGCACCCAACGCAACAUCAACAAAUUUACUCCUUGGCCGAGCUCGGCCGACGAGUUGGCACGCCCUGCAUUCACCGAAGGACGUAGUUAGCUCAUUAAUUAUUCGGCCUGCACGCCACGUAGGCUUUGUAGUUUUUAGGGUCAACAUUUUGGCACGCCCAGUGGGACCCAGUGCUAAACUACGAAGUUCACAUGAUCUAUCUCGAUCCGGCUUCAAGGGAUGAGUGUUAUCGCCUAUUAAAGGAGCAAAAACAACUUCUCGAAAGUUUGAGAAGAAUUUCUGAAAGGCAAAAGGCCGAGGGGCAAAUCUCCACUCCGGCCACAACCAAUAUUCGGCCUAAGAAAAGUGAUAAUUUGGCCGAAGAACAAAGGCCACUUGUUGUUUCGGUAGAGACUGAAAAUAUAGUAGGCCUAGAAGAAAAAAUUCAAGUCCCUAAGCUAUAUACAAAAAUUGACUUGGAAAAAGAUUCGUCAAAAGAAUGCUCUAGUGACGAACGAGGCCGAAAUAUUGGCCUAGCCCGAGAAACUACGCCAAUUGAUAUGAUUAUUGGCAAUAAAGCCGAUAUGGAGAAAUCCUGUUCGGCUAAGUUAUUUGAAUUAAAAGCCGAAAUUAUGCUUGGGGGGCUGUUUGGACUCAAAUUUACACCAUCGGCCCAUGUAAUCAAGGCCGUUGAGUGAGCAUAGUUCUCGACCGUCAGAUGGAAAAGUGAAGAUAUUUUUGUUAAAGGAUAAUAUUAUGAUUUUUUAUCAUAAUAAUUAUUUUUUAAUGAUGAAUUAUCUUGAUUUUUUCCUGGUACAAGAUGGAUGAGAUGUAAAUGUAGUUCAAUUUGAUUUGGGAUUCUUGGAGUUAAGACGCGUGGUGGAUUGGGAGCAUCAGAGCACGUUAUUAAGAGUCCUAAUACACUACUGCAUUGUUGGCAAAUGGAAAUUGGCAGAGAUAUUAAUGCUUGCAUAAAGAUGAAGAUGUUAAAUUGGAGAUGGAUAGCCACGUGUGAGUGGAUUUGGUGGAGCCAUGCAUGCAUAUCAUUAUUUCAAGUCAAGAUGCUUAUCGGCACUAAUUGGUAUAUGCUAAUAUGCUAUUAAUUAGCAAGAGGUGGUUGCAUGUUGGUAAGUGAUAACAAUCUUUUUGCAUGAGAUUGUUAUGAAUGAGGACUUUGAUGUUGGCGGCAGCUUUACAACACGAGCCGUCAGGAUGAGGAUGAUACUUAUAAAUACAGAGUCGCAAACAACGGGUAGGACCCCUGCAAAUCAAUACAAAAUUGCCCUGCGCAAAUUCUCACAACUUGUGAUUUUUCUUUUUUCCUUUUUUCGCUGACACAUCUUCCGUUGGCAUCAACAGCACUGUGGAAGCAACCGGUGAUAUCUUAAGUCGGCAUAGAUAGCUCUGUCACCGUAGAAUCAGUCGGUCUCGCAGUAUCUUCCGUUGGCAUCAACAGCACUGCGGCGAGAACGAUUGAUUAUCUAUCCAAGUCUCGAUCGAGAAGGAUUUCUGAAUCCUUGUUGGUCGAGGUCAUCUCAUCAGCCUUCUCGGCGAAGUGAGGUGUUACAAGUGACUACAUUCGGCACGUUGAAAGCCGAAUUUGAUAUUGAGCUUCGUAAAAAUGGUAACCUUGUCUUCAGGUUCGAGAGCCCAAGAGGCCGAGACGUGUUCCUUUCUCGGCCGCAAUCGCAAGACGCAGAAGUCAGUAGCGCGACCCAACGCAACAUCAACAAAUUUACUCCUCGGCCGAGCGCGGCCGACGAGUUGGCACGCCCUGCAUUCACCGAAGGACGUAGUUAGCUCAUUAAUUACUCGGCCUGCGCGCCACGUAGGCUUGGUAGUUUCUAGGGUCAACAUUUUGGCACGCCCAGUGGGACCCAGUGCUAAUACUACGAAGUUCAUAUGUUAUAUCAAGAUUCCAAUCUGGCUCAACGUAGCUGAUUGUACGAGCUCCUGGAGGAAUUGAAAAAACAUAAUGAGGAAUGCAAAAAAUCUUUGGAAGCAGAAAAAGUUCUUCGUGGCCAUAAAGAGAUGCAAAAGUCAUUCGCUUGCAUGGUGAAAAUAAAAGCUCCUGUUACCCUGCAUGGGUAAAUGAAGACAGGGCUCGAUUUAAUGCCUGGCUAGAUGAAGAACGUUUUCCUUACGUUUCUGAUUACAGAUCAAUUCCAUUUGAAAAAUGGUUAGGUCCAAAGGCCGGGGGGCAAUUUUUCGCUCCGGCCACAAUCAAAAUUCGGCCUCAAAAAAUUGUUAAGGCGGCCGAAGAAAUACUUAGGCCACCUGUUGUUUCGGUCGAGAUUCAAAGUGUGGUAGGCCUAGACGAAAAAGUUGAAGUUUCUGAGCUAAAAAUCGACUCAGAAAAUGAUUCGUCAGAAGAGUGCUCCAAUGACGAACAAGACCAAUACACGACUUCAAACCAUAAAAUCACAUCGAUUGAUAUGGUAAUUGAAGACAUAGGUCUAGCCGAAAAAAUCACGCCAAUUGAUCUGAUUAUUGGUGAUAAAGCCGAUAUGGAGAAAUCCCGUUCGGCUAAGUUGCUCGAGUUAAAAGCCGAAAUUGGUGAAAUAAUUAUGCCCAGGGGGCAUAAUACUUGUUCCACACAUUCGGCGGCUGAAAAUGCAAAAUAUUUUGCCGAGUCAAAAAUAUUUGGGAAAAAUUCUUUAUUCGGCCUAGAGCGAAAUCAAUUUGAAAAUUUUGAUGCAAAAAGAUCUUGGCUUGGAAUAAAACAUCGUUGGUCUCCUCCUGAUUAUGGUUCGGCCACUUUUAUUUUCGUUUGCUAAAAUAUUAAAUAAAUUAUUUUCUUAACUAUUCGGCUUUUUAGGCCGAUGCAUAAACAUAAAAAGGGGGUAGUAUUGUUUUGACCGAUUUGUGUUCGGAUUUAAGAUUUAUUCGGCAUAUAACAUAUCAUGCAGAAAUUAAUCAUGGCAUGAACUGUUCUAGCACGAAGUGUUACAAUUUGGCGUCAAAGCAGGAGUUGAAUCAUGGCAUCUGCAAUUAGAGUCUCGGCCAAAAGAGUGGUUGCCGAGCCAUUCAAUGCACCUGGGAUUGGUUUGGCCGAAUAUAUAUAUAUAAGAGUUUAGCCGAACUCUCGACUACCUUACAAAAGCCUCGGCCAAAGCUGCAUAUAUAUGAUUCGGCCAAAACUGUAUAUAUAUAUAUAUAUAUAUAUAGGAAUUGCUUAAGGGGAGGGAUCCCCAUUUUUUCAAAAAAAUGGGGACACACUCCCCACCGUUGGAUUUGAAUUAAAUGAAAUCCUGUGGUUGAGAUUCUAUGGCCUGUGUUUUAAUCUCAACCACACAAUUUCAUUAAAGUCAAUCUAACGGUGGGGAGCGUGUCCCCAUUUUUUUUGAAAAAAUGGGGAUCCCUCCCCUUAAGCUCCCUGUAUAUAUAUAUAUAUAUAUAUAUAUAUAAAGAAAAUGGGGAUUCUCGGCCACAACUAUAUAUAUAUAUAUAUAUAUAUAUAUAUUGGGGGGGUUGUUUUUAAUGAGGGCAUUAGAGACUCGGUGGACGUCAAAUCUUGGUCAAAUGAGUGGGUCUGAGUUUCAAUGGCCAUGUGGGGUCGAGGGUUCAUGAUUUAUCUUGGUCAUGAUAGAUGAGUGAUAUUCAAUUGGAGGAAUUCAGCACAGUAUUUUGCCGAAUAAGUUUUUAUUCGGCGGUGGUUUCUCCAAUAAUUCUCGGCCAUAUGUUUUUCUCGGUCACUCGGAGGUAGUCAGUCAUCGGUAUUAUUAUUGGUAAAUCAGUAUUAUUGGAUGAUCAGACUUGGUGCAUACAGCUGAGCUAUCAGGGAUAAGGCCGAGUAAUCAACCGAGCUACCAAGAAUUAGUCAUUGCUGAGCCUUGCAUAUAGAAUGAUGGCUACGAACAAUUAAUUUCCUUAAAUAUUCGGCUUAUGAGCCGAAGUUCAAGGAAAUUGGGGGGCAAUGUUUGGACUCAAAUUUACACCAUCGGCCCAUGUAAUCAAGGCCGUUGAGUGAGCAUAGUUCUCGACCGUCAGAUGGAAAAGUGAAGAUAUUUUUGUUAAAGGAUAAUAUUAUGAUUUUUUAUCAUAAUAAUUAUUUUUUAAUGAUGAAUUAUCUUGAUUUUUUCCUGGUACAAGAUGGAUGAGAUGUAAAUGUAGUUCAAUUUGAUUUGGGAUUCUUGGAGUUAAGACGCGUGGUGGAUUGGGAGCAUCAGAGCACGUUAUUAAGAGUCCUAAUACACUACUGCAUUGUUGGCAAAUGGAAAUUGGCAGAGAUAUUAAUGCUUGCAUAAAGAUGAAGAUGUUAAAUUGGAGAUGGAUAGCCACGUGUGAGUGGAUUUGGUGGAGCCAUGCAUGCAUAUCAUUAUUUCAAGUCAAGAUGCUUAUCGGCACUAAUUGGUAUAUGCUAAUAUGCUAUUAAUUAGCAAGAGGUGGUUACAUGUUGGUAAGUGAUAACAAUCUUUUUGCAUGAGAUUGUUAUGAAUGAGGACUUUGAUGUUGGCGGCAGCUUUACAACACGAGCCGUCAGGAUGAGGAUGAUACUUAUAAAUACAGAGUCGCAAACAACGGGUAGGACCCCUGCAAAUCAAUACAAAAUUGCCCUGCGCAAAUUCUCACAACUUGUGAUUUUUCUUUUUUCCUUUUUUCGCUGACACAUCUUCCGUUGGCAUCAACAACAGCACUGUGGAAGCAACCGGUGAUAUCUUAAGUCGGCAUAGAUAGCUCUGUCACCGUAGAAUCAGUCGGUCUCGCAGUAUCUUCCGUUGGCAUCAACAGCACUGCGGCGAGAACGAUUGAUUAUCUAUCCAAGUCUCGGUCGAGAAGGAUUUCUGAAUCCUUGUUGGUCGAGGUCAUCUCAUCAGCCUUCUCGGCGAAGUGAGGUGUUACAAGUGACUACAUUCGGCACGUUGAAAGCCGAAUUUGAUAUUGAGCUUCGUAAAAAUAGUAACCUUGUCUUCAGGUUCGAGAGCCCAAGAGGCCGAGAUGUGUUCCUUUCUCGGCCGCAAUCGCAAGACGCAGAAGUCAGUAGCGCGACCCAACGCAACAUCAACAAAUUUACUCCUCGGCCGAGCGCGGCCGACGAGUUGGCACGCCCCGCAUUCACCGAAGGACGUAGUUAGCUCAUUAAUUACUCGGCCUGCGCGCCACGUAGGCUUGGUAGUUUCUAGGGUCAACAGGGGCAUAAUAAUUGUUCAGCGCAUUCGGCAGCUGAUAAAAAAUCUUUCGUCAAGUCAAACAUAUUUGGAGAUAGUAUUUUAUUCGGCCUUGCAAAAAUUCAAAGUGAAAGUUUUGAUACAAAAAGCCUUCGGCUUGGAAUAAAACAUCGUUGGCCUCCUCCAUUUAUAGUAGGGCCACUUUUGUUUUCUUUUGCUACAAAAUAAGAAUAAAUUAUUUUCUUAACCAUUCGGCUUUUUAGGCCGAUGCUUAAGAAAAUAAAGGGGGCAAUAAGAUGGUGCGGACUUAGAAAAACAAGAAAAAACAAGAUGGUGUACUCGGCAGACAAUUUUGGUCAAAUAAUGGUGUAUUUGGCAGACAGUUUUGGUCGAAUGAAUUUGCGAGAGCAUGCAUGACAAUUGUUCGGCAGACAGUUUUGGUCAAAUGAAUUUAUGGGAGCAUGCAUGGUUGCGAAGCUUGCUCAAUUCAGUUUCGAUGUGCGGUUUAAUAUAUAUAUAUAUAUAUAUAUAUAUAUAUAUAUAUAUAUAUAUAUAUGUCAGAAUGACCCAUCACAUGAAACAGAAAGAGAGACGCAUACGGAAAAGACAAAGGAAUAUUCAUGAAGUUAUGGUAGGCUUCCAUAUGGGCUAACAUUUUCGUUUGGUGAUGUAGUGAUCUGUGAAUUCCUAACAGCAUUAUUUGGCCGAAUACAAAUCUUUGGCCGAAUAAAACAUAGUUCGGCCGAAUAGAAUGGGUUAUAUAUAUAUAUAUAGGCUCUACAGCCAGUUCUUCUCGGUCUCGGCCCCAUUUACUCUCGAUCCCAGUAUUUUUGACCGAUACUAGUGUUUUCUCGACCCCGACAGUUGAGAGUUGGAGUAGUUCACGACACUGGCAGAGGGAGGUUAUGACAUUGGCAGAACAUAGGUGAUUUUAAUACCGAGAGACAAAAUUUGUUUCGGCAAUACGACGAAGUGUUGUUGGCUACGAGCAAUUAAUUUCCUUAACCAUUCGGCUUACGAGCCAAAGCUCACGGAAACUGGGGGGCAAUGUUUGGACCUGAUUUUACACAUCGGCCUAAGCAAUCGAGGCCGUUGAGUAAGCAUGGUUCUCAACCGUUGGAUAAGAAAGUUUAGAUAUUAUUGUUAAGAGAUAAUAUUAUGAUUUUUAAUCAUAAUAAUUAUUUUUUUUAUAAGUUAUCCCGGUUUUUUAUGCAAAAUAAAUGGGAUGGAGGCAAGUAGAGUUGUGAUGGGGACGUGAGCUUUGAAUCAGGUUGGUUUGUUUUGCUGGACAUGCAUACAUGGGAUGUAAAGAUAAUGAAGUGAUAGGGGAUAAAUCCAAACAUGCCAAAACGUGUAAUUUGCAAAAGAAUUGUGCAAUAUGGAGAUUCUAUCCUAAUGCAUGGUUUUUUGGGUUUGGUUUUGUGCACGUGGCAUGUGACAAUGGAGAUGAUGGUUUUGCAUGGUGAUGGCAAUAUGGGUUUAAAGGUUUCUCAUGUUUUUUUAAUAAGAAGCCUAGGUGGGUUAGAUCUCUAGUGAGAUGUGAUAAAGCCUAGGUGGGUUAGAUCUCUAGUGAGAUGUGAUAAAGCCUAGGUAGGCUUUAUUUAUCUGAAGGAUAUGUGCGGCGUAUUUGAUACGGUAUCAGGGUUUAUCUGAAGGAUAUGCGCGGCAUAUUUGAUACGGGAUCAAGGUCAAUUCCACAAAAUAGAGUUGCAGUUGGACUCUACAAAAUUAUUUGGCCGCGUCACACAACAUUUGCUCCUAUAAAUACAAAGGUAGUGGCAACGGAAGAAAGACCCCUGCAAAUCAAUACAAAAUUGCCCUGCGCAAAUUCUCACAACUUGUGAUUUUUCUUUUUCCUUUUUCGCUGACACAUCUUCCGUUGGCGUCAACAGCACCGUGGAAGCAACCGGUGAUAUCUUAAGUCGGCAUAGAUAGCUCUGUCACCGUAGAAUCAAUCGGUCUCGCAGUAUCUUCCGUUAGCAUCAACAUCACUGCGGCGAGAACGGUUGAUUACCUAUCCAAGUCUCGGUCGAGAAGGGUUUCUGAACCCUUAUUGGUCGAGGUCAUCUCAUCAGCCUUCUCGGCGAAGUGAGGUGUUACACGUUAUUACGUUCGGCAUAUUGAAAGCCGAAUUUGAUAUUGAACUUCGUAAGAAUAGUAACCUUGUCUUCAGGUUCGAGAGCCCAAGAGGCCGAGACGUGUUCCUUUCUCGGCCGCAAUCGCAAGAUGCAGAAGUCAGCCGCGCACCCAACGCAACAUCAACAAAUUUACUCCUCGGUCGACGAGUUGGCACGCCCCGCAUUCACCGAAGGACGUAGUUAGCUCAUUAAUUAUUCGGCCUGCGCGCCACGUAGGCUUUGUAGUUUUUAGGGUCAACAGUCACAUUUCAGGUGUCGGCUAACACUACUUAUUUUCGGUGUCCACUUGAAUAUAUGGGUCAGGGUGUGUCAUAAUGAACGCAGGCGAGCAUGGAUUCGCAACGGGGGUUCAAAAUCAAGUAGAUCCGAAUUGAAUCUCACAAAAACCCGACUGGAUUAUCAUCGGGAAGACUGUAGGCUCUCGAGGAUGGGUGGUUUCACCAGAAAAUGGUCAAACAAGGCCGGGGACAGGGACGACGCAAAAAUGGCAUCAUUUGGUCCUAGGGUUUCAGAAUAAGAGCAGCUAGGCUCCUUGUGGCUUGCGACGCAGCUUGGCGACUCGGCUUACACGCUUCAGGUCGUGGCUCGCGCGGGAGGUUGCAGCAACCCUAAUUUUCUUCUUUCUUUCUGUUCUCACACAAUCAUUAAUUCACCACAACAACAUAUAAGCAAAAUAAUAUUAUAAUUCGAAAAGCAUAAAAUUGGGUUCAUGCACUAUGUUGAAGAUUUCAUGCAAUUAGAGCUGGAAAAAAAAUCAAAAUUGAAACCGUAUUUUAGAAGUUACUUAGAUUGUAUGAUCAAAAUUUUGAGCUGUUUUGUAGCAGAAAAUAGCCUCUAGAUUCAUAGCGCAACGUCUAGAGUGUGCUGAUAACAUUUUGUUUCAUAUUUUACUAAAAGAAAGGGAAAUGGUGUGGUGAUAGUGGUGGAGAAAAAGACUCGGAAAAAUUGGUGUAUGUUCCCUUGUGCCAAUGCCUUUAUUUAUAGUAAACAGAAAGAAGAAGCAAACUUGCUCACCAAAAACACAUAGUCUAAUAGAAAAAAAAAAUCAUCUAAAUUACAUAGAAAUCCUAAUUCAAAUCUACCAAAAUUUACCGAAUUAUACUACAUCAAUAUUAAAUGUAACAAUAUUGACUAUGAUCCUACAGUUUUAUUUGCCAGUGUAUGUCUUUUAGCUAGCUUUAUAAUAACUUAUCAAUUUGAAUUUUUUGUCCCAACAAGUAAGCUAAUAUAUAUUAAAAAAUUAGUAUGUGUACACACACAAGAGAGCCAUAUAGUCUUUGGUCUUAUUGUCUCAAAAGUCAGAAGAGAAGACCCGAAGAACGAGCACUCCUCCAUAGUCCACAUUUCUCUACGGUCAUAUUCGGCGGACAAAAUUCUAUGCUCCAACGUCUUCGCUCUCCUUUUUUUUUUUUUUUUUUUUUUUUUUUUUUUUUUUUUUUUUUUUUUUUUUUUUUUUUUUUUUUUUUUUUUUUUUUUUUUUUUUUUUUAGCAAAUGAUAUUAUUUAUAUUAAAUGAUUGAGAUAACAUGUCAAAUUUCACACGUAACUAGCUAUAAUAAUGUUAUUUAAAUUCAUCUUUGACGAGAAUUGAAACUAAGACCUUACUUAUAAGUGAAAAUUAAUAUCAUUAACUCGUAGUACUAAAUAACACUUUAAUCUUUAAAAUUUACAAUCAAACUAGAUUUUUUUUCUCCUUUCUAUAUCCCGUGUUCCAAUUUCCACAUCCACACUUACAAAGUCGUACACGAUGACAUAGCACCAUACCCAUAUAUGGCAUUUGAUGUUUCUAGUCCUCGACUAACAUGAAACGUACAGUCGAUUCUUUCCCUUAGUCCCACUAGUCACAUGUGAUUCCUAUUCUUUUAUAAACAACUUUUUUUUAUUUAUUUUUUUUCAGCCAAAGAAGUUAAUUAAAAUUUUCAAACUGAAAAAUUAUUUAAUCAAUUACAAUAGCAUAAUAUUCAAACUGGAAUUUUUUUUUUUUUAGAGAAUGAUUUUCUACUCAAGAGGUGUGGGGAUUGAACCAUGCCACAUAAGGGGUUAGCUCUUAACUAAAUAUCAAACUCAACUCGAAUAUAAUACAUCAUCGCGAUCCAUAUGAGCAAAACCUGAGACGACUCACUUGAAAAUAGAGAUAAUUAUCACUAAAUCAUAGUACUAGCUGGUCACUUUAAUACAGUACUCACACUUGUAGGCUUUGGCUACACUAGCAUCAAUUAACUCUUGAUAUAACGUAAUUUUACUUCUUAAUAUUAUUCCCAAUUGAUUAACAAAACUACUAUAACAAAAACAAAUAAUAUAACUAAAAUAUGGACUUACGAAAAAUAAAAGAAAAUGAUUUUCGUACAAUUUUCCUCACUCUACGCAUCUCUAUUUAUUUUAAUCUAUCGAUUCUCAUUUAUUUCAUUUAAUUCAAAUACUAGAAAUAAAGUGGCAUUAAGACUAAGAAGGUACAAAUCCCAUCAGCUCAUGGGCAUUAGUGGAAUUUCGCCCUUCUUUAACUGCAUUGUCCCUCCAUAUGCAAGUUAAUUUCACGCGGAUACAAACCCAAUACUUAACUAAGCAACAACAGGCCCACAUUUGACCAACAACUAAUUUAGUCGUAUUUACAUACACACCCCUGUCCCACCACCACCAAGUCAAAACGACGACGUCACCUUCGUCCUCAAAAACUCCUCCAACCUCCACUUCCUUCCAAAACACAACAAACUCAAACCUCUCCGUCUGAGAAACUCUGGAGCACCAAACAAUCAACUCGCCACUAAAAAUGGGGAGGGAGCGGGACCAUCUCUACAUCACCGUUCCCAACCUCUUCCGCUGCCCCAUCUCCAUGGACGUCAUGCGCUCCCCCGUCAGCCUCUGCACCGGCGUCACCUACGACCGCGCCAGCAUCCAGCACUGGCUCGAAUCCGGCCACGACACCUGCCCCGCCACCAUGCAGAUCCUCCAGUCCAAAGACGUCAUCCCCAACCUCACCCUCCGCCGUCUCAUCAACCUCUGGGCCCAGUCCCACGGCCCUUCCUCGCCGGCCUCCUCUCCCUCUCUCUCCUCCCAGCACCUCGCCUCCCUCGUUCAAUUUCUCCGCAAUGAGAACGAGACUGAGAAAUUCAGCCAAAAUAUCGUAAACUCAUUGUCGAAGACUGCCGAUUUCGCGAGGGUCGGCGAGGAGAACCGGAGGUUUGUGGCGAAUUUCGACGGCUUCGUCUCCGCCAUUGUGGGGAUUCUGAACAGAGAAGGCGUCGAAAUCGAAGUUCUCGAAUCGGUAAUUAAGGUUUUGGAUUCGAUUUUGCCUCAAAGCGGAGUCAACGAGCAAUUGAGCCGAUUUAUUGCGAAGAGCAACGGCAAUUACCUCGCUUCAAUUCGAUUGGUACUGCAGAAAGGAAGCCUGAGCUCGAAGAUCGAAUCCGUCAAGGUUUUGGAUUCGAUCGCGCUCGACGCCGAGUCGAAACGAUUAAUCGCGGAGAAGGAAGGCUUAUUGUCCGUAUUCAACGAUCUGUUGAGCUUGGAAACGUGUCAGGACCUAUACGGCGCCGUUUUCUCAUGCUUAGCAUCAUUGUCCGUGAAUCGGUCGAUUAAAGCCGAGCUCGUCCGGUUCGGACUAGUCCGAGUUGUAACGUCAACGCUGCUAAAGCCGGACACUAGCACUACCCUUGCGGAGAAGUGUUUGAAGCUGUUAUCCACCAUUGCCACGUGCGCCGAGGGCCGGUCGGCGAUCAGCGGGGAGGAGAAGUGCGCGGAGGCGGUGGCGGAGAGGCUGAUGAAGGUGUCGAGGGGGGCGACGGAGGACGGCGUGGCGGUGCUGUGGAGCGUGUGCUGCAUGUUGGGGGACAAGAGGGCGAGGGAGAGCGUGGCGGGAGGAAAUGUGGUGGCGAAGGUGUUGUUGGUGAUGCAGAGUGGGUAUGGAGAGGGGCAUUUUGUGAGGAGGAUGUGUGGGGAUUUGGUCAAAGUUUUGAGUGUUGGGUUAGGGUUGGGGUUGAGGUAUGACACCAAGACUAUACAUAUCAUGCCUUGUUAGAAAUUGUUCAUGAUGAUAAUCUUGCUCAUUUAUUUUUUUUUUGGAAAUUGUGAAUUUGGAUAAAAAAUUUUAUAGAAACAAAAAGGAAAAUUCUUUUUAGUUUUGUAGUCAUUGAUCAUCAUUAUGUGAUUGAUGUUGUAUGAUUAGUAGAGAUAUUUUUGUGUGCUGUGAACAUGACCCGGUAUAUUAAGAAUAGUAUUACAAUUCGUUGGAAACUUUAAAAAAAAAAUUCCAAGAAAUUGUAUGUGCUGUGUUUCCGGAAAAAUUUCUUGGGUUUGUGGGGAUGUGAAUAUGCAAAAUUAUGUUGAUAAGAUGGCUUAAGUGAUUAAAAGAAUGAAGAAAUAAACAACUUUUUGUUAAUCUCAUGUUAAUCUUCUUUUUUGAUUUGUUGUUUCUUUUAUUGUUAAUUCAGAAAAGUUUCAUGAUGAAUUUGUUUGGACUUUGAAAAAGGAUUAGGGACAAGAAUCCAAUCCAUCGUAAAAGGGGCAAGUUUUGAUAUGAUUUGCAAGUUAUAACUUGUUAAGUAAGAGAACGUAAGGAGAUCUAUUGUAUACUUGGGUAAAUUUAAUUGGUCUUAAGUUCAAAUUUAUUUCUAAGUAAUUUUGGAGUAAUUGUGAUCAAAUAGUUGUAUGCUUUUUUUUAGAGUGGACUUACAAGUCACAGUUGUAUUGCCUCAACUACGUUUUAUACCAAUAAUACAAUACCAUGCAGAGAAAUUUACACAUAAUGUUGUAUAUUUGGCAUGAGACUAUCUUAGUGAAAAUGUAUCCAUGCCAUAGAAGUCGUCCUCUCUUUUGUGGGUGAGGUAGUUCUGGGCAAUGAACCUGUAUGAAAAAAUAUGAGUUGUUGAGCUAUGCACGAGUGUCAAACGUAACAUGGCUUAUUUUCGUAUCCCUGGUAAACAAACUACAAAAUCGUUGCUCUUAGAACAGUAUGUGUUUAAUUUCAAAAACGAGACAAAAAUGAUUGUAAAGAAAAAACACUAAAUAAGGAGACAAAUUCAGGCUAGUUUGCGUUCGAAUUUUACAGGGUAAGGCAACAACUUGGCUGUAGUAGGCAUCUGGUUUGCAAAAAUCCAGCAGAAAACAAUUGUAUGGACAACAAAUUGCGAUGCUCCGAUGCGACUCUCUAACAAUGUAAAGCUGUUUUGAAGUGGUGAAGGAACAAGGGUCAUGGCGCCAGAUAACCGAGUUGUAUCAGCAACCAUUUUUAUGAGCCUGCUGCCUCGGCUUCCAUGCUCGAUUCUGGUAACUUUGUCAUCUACAACUCGGACUCAAAUAUCAUUUGGCAGAGUUUUGAUACUCCAACCGAUACCAUUGUAUCUGGCCAGCGAUUGCUGGCUAGAAAGAAGCUUGUCUCCAGCAUCUCCGACACAAAUCAUGCAAGCGGAAGAUUUAGACCUUCAAUGUAGCGUGAUGGGAACCUAGAGAUGUACCUGGAGUGUCCAAUUAUAUUACAACCUGAUUGAUCGGUAUGCUUACUCAAAUAGUGGGACGUACAGGGCUGGAGACAAUGAGUCACUCAACGUUGAUCACAAUGGACAGUUAUAUCUCCUCAGUUACAAUAUAAGGAACGCUACGAAUCAGAAAGAGCUGUUUGACACACACACGUAUGUACCACAUGAUGAUUGACUUUGAUUGUAUUACUCCAGUUAUACUUCCAUACUAUUUAUAUUUAAUUUUAAAUUUUAAAUGAUUUUUAACCGCACGAUAUACAUGAACGGACAUAAUUAUGGGAUCCUCCAAAUUCCUGAGAAAAGGACGUCGAACAAGAAUCUUUGGUUGCUCCAUUGUCUCAUUUGACGGACUGAAAUAACGGAGCUAACAAACUGUAAGUACAAAGGACGAAAGUGAAAAGAAAAAGGCUAAAGGGAGGUAAGUGAUAAUUCGAUUUAAACUAACGGGACCAUGAGUGCAAUCUGACUCGCUCCUUAACUUGGAAAAGCCAACCAGGGCGUUCCAAGUGUGAUGAUGAACACGUGCCGAAACACCAUUGGAUUCUGGAGGGGAACCAGUGAGGCCUCCCGCAGCAAAGCCACACAAAAUGAUACACAAGCGAUCUGAGUCGUCGGCGAGGAUCCUUUUCCGUGAAAAAUCGAUCGAAGAAGCAAAGGCAGGUCACUGAAUAAAGAAAUAAAAACACAGAAGCUGAAGCUGUUGCGGGAAAAAGCUUGACCAAAUCAGGGUUCCCGAAUUCGAAUCGCCAACGAGGUUAACCAGAUUAGGGUUUUAACAAAAUUUUUAAGUUACUUUUACCAUGUUGUAAUUGCUUAAUUUUUUUUGCUGAAAUUCAGAAAUUUGCAGGAAAACUGAAAUGGGGGACGGCCUAUGGAACCGCCAGCAGCAGCAGCAGCAGCAGCAUCAACUGGGUCCCUCUGGCGGCGUGCAUAAACGACCUCGUUCCGACUACGGUAACUCCUCUGUGGCCAUUUCUCAUAGUUUUUUUCUUUAAUUAGAUGAAAUUGCGAUUGCAUUCGUUUGCAUUAUAGAUUUAGUUGUCAAACCAUUUAAUUUCUGACUUCUUGUUUAUAAUUCGAGCGAUAUUAUAAUCUAAUCGAAACUAUGGGGAGAGGGGGAUUCGAACUUGGGUGCAGAUGGGGAGCACACUGCUCGAGCCAACUUAGCUAGGCCAAAGUCUGCUUCUUCGUGUUAUAAGUGUUUUUACUUUAGUGGUUCUUGAUGGGUUUCGGGUUUCAAUGUAAAUUAUGUUUCAAAGUGGUGAAAUUUAUGUGAAGGGUCAAGGGUAUCUAGACAAAGGAUUCCAGUUCAGUUGUCUGAUGACUCUGCUUGUAUGUAUCUCCCCUUACUCUAGUAGAUAUGCAGAUUCUGGUUUUGUAGCUAGGUGUCUCUUUUCUUUUCUUUUAUAAAAAUUACAAUAAAUGUUUUGCUUCCAUAGUUCCAUGUGUACUCUUACAUCUUCGGGGUCUUCUUGAAGCAUAUAAUAUAGUCUUAGCCUAUCUGUUCCACUUACUACAAUUGCGAUCAACACUCAUACUCGUAUGAUUCCAUAUAAUAAUGUAUCUUCCACGAAAGCUUUACUAAGCAUAUGAUUUCUGUUAUUAUUUUCUUUGUAACCAGAUCACAGUUUUUGGCCUUCAUGUUUCCUUCGGUCCAUUGUUAAUGAUAUUAUUUACUGGAUUUCAUAUUUAGAGCAACUUUUGAAUGAUUUCCACAUUAGCGGUAGUUUUAGAAGUUACUGGUUGUUAUUAAGUUAUGUUCAAGGGGGGAAAACCUUGUUCGGUGUGUUUGCUAAGACCUGUGUGAAAAUGGAAACUACUACAAAAUCAUUCAGGUUUCCAAUUACAUUGCAAGGUACUUAAGAAUGGAUCUUUUCCUGAACCCAACCAAACCCCAAACCUCUGAAAUUAUCAAGUAGAUUCUUUCCUUUUAGUGCGGUCAGUCUUCCAAUCUAAUACUAUUCUUCAAUAAUUAUGGUAAUAAGAUCCUCCAUACAUAUUUAUAAUGCAAUUAUGUUUAUAUACAAAUUGAUGCAUAUUAUUGGUAUACAUUUUGAUAUAACCAAAUUCCCCUUUUUUUUCAUUUAGUUAUUUGUUUGCUGAGUUGUUCUUGUUAUAACUUCUUAGUCACUGAUCAAAAGCCUAGACUUGUAUAUUGUAUGUAGAUGUUUUGAUUGGUAUGUUUUCUUUGUACUUUUGAACAUUGGUGGCAGUUUUACUUGUUCAAAUACCACCUAGUUGUUAGUAGUGAUAUUGUUCAUUCCGCACCUUGGGUCUAACUCUGCACAUUAAAGAGUAGGUUUUUACCUUGUUAAUUGACGGGGCAUACUCUACUUCCACCUCAUGCUUCUCAAUUGGUUUCUUGAUUUAAGUUCUUCCAUCUGCUUUUUUAUUUUUUAUGCCUUUUCUCUUGUUCUAUAGUUGUAAUAUAUACAGCUGAAUUAGGGUCUAUUUGUUAAUGUUUUCUCAAUGUUGUGCCUUUAAAUAUAGGUAAAUUAUGCGCUUGGUGCAUUAAGUUUGUUAAACAUGGGAAACAUAUUCUGUAAAAUGAUCUCAACUUUUGUUCUUCAAGUUAGGAAACAACCAUUCCACUAUUUAUGUUGUUUUCAGGGGGAUUGUGAAACAUGGUGAGUAGUUAGAAACAAAAAAAGGAACCUUUCAACUGGAAUAAAUGUUUCUGUCAUCCUCAGAGGCUCUGUUGUUGGUCCUCACUUUUCACGUAUAUCUGCUCUCAAAAACCUAUACCAAAAAACCAAACACCCUAUCGCCUCUCUCUUCCUUUCUUUCUCCAUCUCUCUUUGCCUCCUCAUCUCUCCCACUUUCUCUCUACACCCUCAAAACCUGCACUCCAGCCCCACUCCGAACGCCUGACCCAUUCAUCGAAACCAAUAUGUGGAACCUCUUCUCAACCUCCCCCGCCCCCGCCCCCGCAAUGUUGUCGUCUCGUCUCUGAUUUGAAAACAUUUGGUUGUGGGUUGUUUUCAAUAUAAUAAGUUGGACGUGAAUAAUUGUUAGUGAUAAAUUUGGAUGGUAGAGUUUGGUAUUAUUUCAAUUUAAACUGGAGUGGUCAAGAAUUUGGUAGAACUUGUAAAAUGGAGAAACUGAAGAUGGUGAAUCAGACUUGGUUUCAGUUUAAACGGGGAUAGUUAUACCGUACUUGUAUGGGAUAUAGAGCGAUGUUGGAUGCAGCUUUAUUUUAUUGUAUCGGUUUUGUUUUGGUGUCGGAAUGGUUAUACUGUACUUGUAUCUGUUUCUUUAUCUCGUUUUGGUGUUGCUUUAUUUUUUUAUUGCUUUUAAAUCUGAAAUGGUUAUACUGCACGUGUAUUGGAUAUAGGUCUGAUGUUGGAUGUUUAUUGAUAUGAAUGUUCCAUUUAAUAGGGCUCUAACUCACAAUGGUUUUGGUUAGCUUUGAUGCGGGCAUGGGAUAAAUCAAUUUCACUAUUGUGCCGUUUAAAAGGGCUCUUAACUCACAAUGUUUUAAUAUAUUUGUUUGGUUCAUUGAUACGUCUUGUCAAAAUGUGUUUACAUUAGUUACGUGUUUGAACUUUGAUUAUAAUAUUUAGUUGAAAAUAGUUUUUCAAAAUAUUGCUGCCUAAUACAAAUUCAGUAAUUUAAUUUUUUUCUCAUACUAGCACUGAACACAUUUUCACUGUUUUUGUUUUUAGAAACAUUUUUUCAAACUAUUCUACCAGAUGCAUUAUCUAAUGUUAAAUUACAAGAAUGUUAUAUCAUUUUCAUUUUCUGAAAGGUUUUUAUGCAGAUGGUUUUGUAAAACAUCACCUGAUAGGCUCUUACUUUUCUGUAUUGUCAACCUGUCUUCAGGUCAAGAGAUGCAUGGUUAUUUUGCGCGAGAGGAUGAUCUUGGUGGUCCUAGGACUGUAAAGGAUAACAGAUCAAUCGGAUCAGCAUAUGACCGUUAUCUUCAGAAUGCGGUGACUUUCUUAAGCAUUUGAAACUAUGCCUAUUAUUAUUUGUGUUACAUCUCUCUGUUUCUGUACUAAAACAUUUGUCCUACUUGCUUCUAAAGGAAAUGGCUUCGUACACUUCUGGAGAAGCGAGUACUUUUGGUGGAGCUGGAAUGGGAAGGGCUGUUGGUGGUGGAAUGACAGGUCCUCCAAUGGCUGAUCAUUCUAUGAGGGGCCGUCCUGGAGCUAUGUCUUCUGAUGUACUAACAAAUGGUCGAAAUAUGAAUCUUGCUAAUCAGCUCCCAGUUGAUUCAAUGCCUAGGCCUGGACGUGAAACAGUUCCUUUACCUCUGGAUGCAUCCAGCACUUUAUAUGUUGAAGGACUUCCUCCUGACAGCACAAGGAGGGAAGUAGCUCGUAUCCUUUAUGAUGCUUAAGAAUUAUUGCAUAUUGCUUUCCAAUCUUAUUGUUUAACUCAAUAGUUUUUCCAUCGCUCCUCCUUUACAUAACUCUUAAGAUAUCUUUCGUCCUUUUGUGGGAUACAAAGCAGUGAGGCUUGUGAGCAAAGAGUCCAAACACGUAUGUGGGGGUGGAUUAUUGUAAACAAUUACUUUUCUUAGUCAUUCUGUUUUUCUUGAUCACUCUGACUUGAGAUUGUCGUUGUGCUACUUGGUUCGACUCUUGGGAAGUUUAUAAUCUUUCUUCACACUAAUAUUCCGGUUUGUCCAUAAUGCAGCGUGGCGGGGAUCCUCUUAUUCUUUGUUUUGUGGAUUUUGAAAAUCCAGCCUGUGCAGCAACUGCUCUGAGUGCCUUGCAAGGUGAUUGCUUUUUAUUGUCAUCAACCUUGGUGACUAUCAGUGUCAAAGAAAGCUUAAUUCUUUCUUUCUGUUUUUAUUUGUUUCCUUUAUAGCUUCACAAGUGUUAUUUUCUAUCAUACCUUAUUCAAUCAUGUAAAGGGUAAAUUUAUGUUAAAAUUCUUCCAUGCAUAGUAGGUGUAAAGAGGUUGAGGCAGUUCAUAAAAAUGUUAUAGAUGGCUUCUUGUGAUUUAAUAUUGGAGUUCAUAAUAUCUCUACACUACAUAUCGUGUAGAACUAGCUGGAUUGCUCAUUAUUUUCCCAUGUUUGUUGUUUUUGAAAAGCUGGAAGAUGCUGACAUUUGUGUUGCUGGAAGAUGCUGACAUUCAUGUAAUUCCAUGCAUAGUGUUUUAGUAUGUGUAAAGACGUUGAGGCAGUUGAAAAAAAAAAUGUUAUAGAUGGUUUCUUGUGAUUUAAGAUUGAAGUCCAUAAUAUCUCUACACUCCCGAUUGUGUAGAACUAGUAUUGCUCAUUAUAUUUUCCCGUGCUCGCGGUUUUUGAAACGCUGGAAGAUGCUUACAUUUGUGUUGCGUUUGCAGGUUAUGAAAUGGAUGAACAUGCUCCUGAUUCUAAUUACUUGCGGCUGCAGUUUUCUCGGUUCCCUGGUCCUAGGUCUGGACCUGGCCGUAACAAGAGGUGAUAGGCAUUAGGUGAUGAGAAAUAUCUGUUUUUGAUGUAAUCAAGAUUGCAUUUGCUUUUAAUACAUUCCAUAUAUAUAUAUAUAUAUAUAUAUAUAUAUGUAUUGCUCAGGCUUGGGCACACACCAACUGUAAGCACUUCUGAUGCACAUUGUUGUUUCGAGGUAGUGAAUCAGAAACAGUUUUAUAGUUGUGCAAUUAAACAGAGAUCUGAUUUUGCACGUCCAUGGUCUACAAAAUUUGUAAGUGUUUUUAGAAGUGGCAAGUUUCUCAGGCACAAACCCUUUAAAAACUAGUGUGUUUUUUUAGCAUGGAUUUGCAGGCUUCUGUUACAUAUAUCAUAUGGUAAGUGAUUUCCGCUCGCUUUUUCUCCUUGUACAACUCCUUUUUUCCUAGUUUAAGGGUUGGAUAAAUCAAAUCAAAGGAGAAUAAGUGGAAAGAAACAUAAGGUGAAUGCAGGAGGAGAAAAUGGGAACGUGCCGAUGACUACCGAUCAAACUCGUCUUUUCUUGUAACUUCCAACUGCAUGGAGAAAAGCAAGACACUGCGUGAUGAGAAUGGGCAUUGCAUGGUGUCAUGUCUUGUGGUGUUAGAAAUUUGAUCCGAGUCCUUCCCAUUUGGACUACAGUUAAGGACAGGCUCUACUAUGUCCUCCCAAUGCUAAGCACUAGGUAGUGGGCUGCCGACUAGUCUAUGUGCCACUGUACAUAUCACAUGGGCUUUCAACCCAUAAUCCUAUCCUGCUAGAGCUUCCCCCUACCCUUCUUGAAAUUAGUAUACCGUCAGGUAUGUUGCUGUCUCUCAUAUCACGUGACUAAUGAUUCGUUUGGAAUUACUUCUUUCAGAAACACUUAUACUACAAGUGUUUUUAUUGUAGACACGUUAAAUCUUUACAAACAAUCCAAGUGUUCAUUGAAAAAUAUUUGAAAGUGCUUCUUGAAAAAGCAUUUGGCAAGUGCUCCUCUAAAGAUAGUUUAUACGAGUCAAAAGAAUUUCUAAUAUUUUAUCUUUAUGCCAAUCGCAACAGAACACAUUUAGCUUUUCCAGAAUCAAUCCUAAACUAGUUCUAAGCAAAGAAAGGGCAAUAUAACAUAAGGACAACGAAGAAUCUCUCUAACAUUAAAGGUUAUGUUUGUUCGGUCACUAGACUCAAACAAAAGAGAAAAGUAGAAGUGGGCAAUAAAUUGGUUUUCGAUUACCAUCAAAUUGGCACAACAUUCGGCAUUGUUUCGCAAAAGACUGCUUUUUUUUCUUAGCAUUAGUUUUACACACACUCUAGUGUGUGGUAAAAACAAGCUAGGGUUUGGUUGGAGAACAAGUCUGAGCAGUUACAUGCCAUGUGGGCUGGAGGGUUUCGUUUGGUGCCAUUACUCUUUUUUCUUGUUCUAUCAUCCUUGUCGAACUGGAAGAGAAAAAGGAGGGGAAAAGGGAGUUUAGGGCAAAAAGGAUACUGAGUUUAUAAACCAGGAAAUGUCUAAGCAAUUUGUUUGUGCCAACGUGACUGUUAUCUAAAUAUAGCGUACUUGUGGUAUAAAAGAAAAAGGCAAAAAGGGUAACUGUAAAUAGUUGUUGUACUUAAGUGUAAAUUGUCCCACAACUUGUCCAGGGACCAGUGCAUAUAAGUUGUAGCUGCAAGUGCAAGGAGCAACCUCUGGAUUAGAUAGACGGAUGGACUUGGUUUGGUAUGAUUCCAAGUCGUCGUUGAUGUUUCUUCUUCUUUGUGGCCCAGCCACCCAGGACUAUAGUCCUUAUUUGGUAGGUAUUUAUUGCAAGGCUAACUAUAGGAUUGGAGAUAGACAAAGGGAGAUGGGACAUGGAGAAUGGUUUGCCAAGUUUGUUUAGAAUGGAUCGGGAUCAAUGCCCGUUGGAUCCCUAGUAAUUGAAUAUUAGUUAAAGAUUCAACGUCUAUGAAUCUCGGUCUAUGUUAUGAACUGUUUUUACAAUUUUCGUUCAUUGUGUAUCACGUAAUAUGCAUAAUGUUAGACAAUCCACUUGUUUUAUUUGAGACAACUGUAUUUGAUGCACUUCCUAAUUUCUGUUUUCUGACUUGCUUCAAUCUACAUUCUCUUGAUAUUUUUUUUUCCAUUUUACUCGGUUUUAUGAUAGUGAGAACAUUCAACAUGGCCUCUUCUUCCUCAAGUUGCUUCUUUGUGAUACGUAUAUCUGUUUUUGUACUAAAACAUGUAUCCUACUUGCUUUUAAAGGAAAUGCCUUCGUACACUUUUGGAGAAGCGAGUACUUUUGGUGGAGCUGGAAUGGGAAAGGCUGUUGGUGGUGAAAUGACAGGUCCUCCAAUGGCAUGAUCAUUCUAUGAGGGCCAGUCCUGGAGCUAUGUCUUCUGAUCUAUUAACAUAUGGUCGAAAUAUGAAUCUUAUUAAUCAGCUCCCAGUUGAUGCAAUGCCUAGGCGUGGACGUGAAACAGUUCCUUUACCUCUGGAUGCAUCCAGCACUUUAUAUGUUGAAGGACUUCCUCCUGACAGCACAAUGAGGGAAGUAGCUCGUAUCCUUUAUGAUCCUUCUAUGAUGCCUAAGAAUUAUUGCAUAUUGCUUUCCAAUCUUAUUGUUUUACUCAAUAAUUUUUCAAUCGCUCAUCCUUUACAUUACUCUUUAAGAUAUCUUUCGUCAUUUUGUGGGAUACAAAGCAGUGAGGCUUGUGAACGAAGAGUCAGGUUUGUCCAUAAUGCAGCGUGGCGGGGAUCCUCUUAUUCUUUGUUUUGUGGAUUUUGAAAAUCCAACCCAUGCAGCAACUGCUCUGAGUGCCUUGCAAGGUCAUUGCCUUUUUCUUUUCAUCAACCUUGGUGACUAUCAGUGUCAAAGAAAGCUUAAUUCUUCGUUCUGUUUUUAUUUGUCUCUUUAAAGGUUUGUAAAUUUUUUUUCUAUCGACCUUAUUCAACCAUGUAAAUGGAAAAUUUAUGUUAAAAUUCUUCCAUGCAUAGUAGGUACAAAGUGGUUGAGAUAGUUCACAAAAAUGUUAUGGAUGGCUUCUUGUGAUUUAAUAUUGGAGUCCAUAAUAUCUCUACACUCCAGAUCGCGUAGAACUAACUAGAUUGCUCAUUAUUUUCCCGAGCUUGUUGUUUUUGAAACGCUGGACGAUGCUGACAUUUGUGUUGCGUUCGCAGGUUAUGAAAUGGAUGAACAGGCUCCUGAUUCUAAUUACUUGCGGCUGCAGUUUUAUCAGUUCCCGGAUCCCAGGUCAAGACCUGGCCGUAACAAGGGGUGAUAGGCAUUAGGUGAUGAGAAACAUCCGUGUUGAUGUAAUCAAGAUUGCAUUUGCUCUUAUACAUUAUAUAUAUUGCUCAGGCUUGGGCACACACUAAUUGUAAGCACUUCUGAUGCACAUUGUUGUUCUAGGUAGUGAAAUCAGAAACAGUUUUAUAGUUGUGUUGAACGAUCUGAUUUUGCACGUCCAUGGUCUACAAUUUACUCAAGGAAUGUUUUAAUUCUGAAUUGAGAUUGUACUGUGCAUAGACUACCGCAAAAUUAGUACAGAGAUAGUUUCCCUAUAGAUUGUUUUCAUAUACUAGAGGACUUCCAUGGCCAGGGUAUCUUGCCACCAUAUUGUCCCCGUACAUUUUCCCUCCAUAUUAGUUAUAUAUUUAUCUGGACAUUCUAACCUAAUGAAGUCCUACAAUCAUCAUAACUCAUUUUACUUAGCUCAUGCUCCUUACAAUAUUUGAUGAACUCACAUAAGAAACUCAUAGAAAUUUGUUCCCAGUCAUUACCUUUGGACUGCAGUUGAAGCUUAUGAUACAUCCUCCCAAUGCUAAGCACUAGCUAGUGGGUUGUCGACUAAUCUAUGCCACCGUACACAUCGCAGGGGCUUUGAACUCUGUCUCAAUUAUUGUAAAGACGUUAGCCUCUUCAAUGAAAGAACCCAUAGUCCUAUGCUGCUAGAGCUCCCCCCACCCUUCUUGGAAUUAAUAUAGUGUUAGGACAUAUCGCUCUAUUUCUCACAUCACGUGACUAAUGAUUUCUUUGAAGUUACUUCUUUAGGAAACACUUAUACUACAAGUGCUUUUAUUAUAUAGAAUCUUUAUAAGCAAUCCAAGUGUUCAUUGAAAACGUAUUUGAAAGUGCUUCUUGAAAAAGCAUUUGGCAAGUGCUUCUUGAAAAAGCAUUUGGCAAGUGCUUCUAUAAAAGAGCUUAUUGGGUCAAAAGAAUUUCUAAGUUUUUUUUUCUGCCAAGCACAACAGAAUACACAUUUUAGCUUUUUCCAGAACCAAUCCCAGACAAGUUCUAAGCAAAGAAAGGGCGAUACAGCCUGAAGACAACGGAGAAUUUCCCUGACGUUAAAGGUUUUGUUUGUUCGGUCACUAAACCCAAAAAAAUAGAAAACUUGAAGUGGGCAAUGAAUUGGUUUUCGAUUUCCAUUAAAUUGGCACAACAUUCGGCAUUGUUAUGCAAAAAUAUACUUUUUUCUUAUCAUUAGUUUUACACACACUCUAGUCUGUGGUAUAAAAUGAGCUAGGGUUUGGUUGGAGAACAAGUCUACGUGGUAUCAUCACUUACAUUACAUGCCAUGUGGGCUGGAGGGUUUCAUUUGGUGCCAUUACUCCUUUUUCUGUUCUAUAAUCAUUUUGGAACUGGAAGAGAAAGUGGAGGGGAAAAGGUAGUUUAGGGCAAAAAUUUUCCAAUCAAUUUUUUGGCAGUGUGACUGUUUUCGAAAUAUAGAGUAGUUGUGGCAAAAAAGAAAAAGGAAAGGGGUAAUUGUACAUACACAUUGUUCCAAAGGGUCAGUUGUCCCACAACUUGUCAAGGGACCAGAGCAUUAAGUUGUAGCUGCAAGUGCAAGGAGAAAGUUGUGGAUUAGAUAGACCAAUGGAUUUGGUUUGGUUUAAUUCCAAGUCAUCGUCGUUUCUUCUUCUAUGUGGCCCAGCCGCCCAGGACUUUAGUCCUUAUUUGGCAGGUACUUAUUACAAGGUUAGAUAAAGGGAGAUGAUACAUGGAGAACGGUUUGCCAAGUUUGUUAGAGUGGAUCCGGAUCCAUGAGUGUUGGAUCUCUAGUAAUUGAAUCUUUAGUUAAAGAUUCAAUGUCUCAACGAUCUAUGCUAUACAUUUGUCUUUACGAAUUUUCAUUCAUUGUGUAUUACAUAAUAUUCUUGACCCUCUUAUAUGUGACUUCGGCCGACUUCUAUCACCCGAUAUCGUUGUGUAAUAACUUGAUGAGAUAGCCAAUGCUUAGGUCAUCUUCAAUGGAGAUGGCUAAAGGUCAAAAAGCUAAAAAAUAGUAUGAUUUGUUCAAAAACUCAUCUCCAACCAAUGUCAGAGCUAUAAUUAUAUGGAGCCCACCAUGCCAUUAUUUGGCUAGUGCCCCUUUCUUAGCCCCUUUUUGGGGCCUAGCUCCUCGAUUAUGCCAUCUGCAAUGAAGAGGGCUAAAUGUCUAAAAGCCAAAAAAUGACAUGAUUUACCCAAAAACUCAUCUCCAACCAAUAGCUAGGUUAUAAUUCUAUGGAUUCAACAGUUAGAUUUGGAAACAUCCAAUGUUAGUUUAAUUAAAUUAAAGUAUAAACUUAAAACUAAUAAAUUAUUAGGGAGCCUAUGUUUUAGCCCUUUCGGUUGGAGAUGGUAUAUGAGUAUGGCCGACACUAUUCAUUUAAAAAUAAUUUUUUUGUUGGGUUAUAAUUUUGGAUGAGGCUAUGUCUAGCCCUUUUGGUUGGAGAUGACCUUACAAUGAUUAAUUCAAAUUCAAUGGUUAAAUUUGAAAAUAUCCAACAAAACAUCCAACAGUAGUUUAAUUAAAUUAAUCAAUAAUUUUAAGUAUAAACUCAGAACUAAUAAAUUAUUGAGGGAGUUAUGUUUAGCCUUUUCGGUUGGAAAUGAUAUAUGAGUAUGGCCUAAUACUGUUUAUUAAAAAAAAAAUCUUUAGUUAUCUCUGCUAAUCAAUAAAACACUCAUUGUCAACCAAAAUCCUAUGAAAUUACCAGUUUAACCUUCUAAUUAAAACAAAACAUGAAUAAGAAAUAUGGGGCGGAAAUUUAAUUUUACACAAACAAAAUUUGUUGUUUUUUUUUUUCAAAACUUCAUCUAUAUAUAAUUCUAACAUAUCUCUAAUUAUAAAAUAAAUAAAAAAUAAAAAUAAAAACUUCCUACUCCCACAUUCUCUAUCACUCCCUUCCUCUCUUCUUUUAUUUUAAAACAAAAAAAAAAAUUUCACAUACUUUAUAUAUGCCCAUAUGCUAGUAAUUAUAAACGAAACUAUAUUUAACUAUUUCGUUGAAAAUGACCGUACGAGUAUGUAAAUUUUGAAAUGUGAGUUGUCGUUCACUACGCAAGCAAAGAUCGAAAGCCUUCAUGUACCGAGGGGUCCCACUCCUUGAAUCAGAAUAAAAGUGCUUUGAAAAAGUCCCUUUAAUUAUGUCCAAGUUUGGAUAAAAUUUGUCCAUGCAUGGCAUGCACUCACUGACUGAUCUCGUCGUCCUGAAGGGUAAGAGAGGUAAAUUCCAGAAUAACCCACGAGGCACUGUAUGAAGCCUGUCAAUUACAUCAACUCAUCAAGCUUUCAAUCUUUUCAUGGCAUGCCUAACUUCUGUGAAAUAUGCUCAACAUUUAACAUUUUGUAAACCAAAAAGAGAGUAAGAGAGAGAUGAUUGAAGUAAUAAAGUAAAAGCGAAAUGCAUGCAUUGAUAAAAGGAAAUUUUAACAAAAAAAAUUUCGGUACUGUUUACUUUAACAAAAAAUUAUAUUUUUACAUUAAAAAGUCAAUUCUAAUACUAUUCAUUUUACCCUUUAUUUGUUCUUUAUUGUUAAAAAUCAAAUUUUUCAAUCCAUUUUUAUUAGUUUUCCUUUGAUAAAAGGAGAAAGAUGCAUGGAGAACUGGUUUUUUAUUUUAUUAUUAUUUUUUUUACAAACAAUAAUAUUAGAGUGGAUUAAGUUAUUAGCUGUUAGCGAGAAGAGGAUCAAUAAUAAUCAAACUAGCACCCGGAUGUAUAAGCAUAAUUGUUUUCUAAAAUUGCAAUAAAACGUCACUUUCCAUAUAUAUAUAUAUAAAAAAAAAAAACUUAUUGUUCCUUGUAUGAUGGAUUGCAAUCUCAAUAUCGUUCUUAAUGGAACGGCCACAAUUAGUUGUUCAGGACAUAAACAAUAUGUAUUGUCUUUAUAUUUAGGAAAUUGGCUCUGUUAGCCUUAUUACAAACCCAACAAUUAAAAAUACUCCCAAAUUAUAAUCUCUAUUAGCCCUCUUUUCCUUAAAUACCACUAACUUGAAAGAUGAACUGUUAUUCUAUGUCUCGACGUUGGAUCUCGAUGGCAUCCAAAAGGGCCUCUCAACUCCCUUCCGACUGUAUCUCGACUGAAUCACGACGGCAUCUCAACGGCACAGAACUGAAUUACCCUUAUAUUUAUGAGUUGAUCAGACACUCCAAUUAAAUAAAAAUAACUAUAAUUAUGUCAAAAUUAUUUAGUCAGUCUCACGUAUAUAUAAUUAAUUCAUCAAACACAUAAACAAAAAAGUUCUUGUAUGUAUGCUAUACUUUGAUUUGUCUCAACAAGAAAUGACUCAGUCAUCUUUUUAUCUAUGUCCAUUGAGUUUAUGGAGGGCAACAUAUUGAGAUCUCAAAAAUCUUAUUCUCAUACAACACACUUUUUUUUUUGAACAAACGAUAUUAUCUACACUAAGGGAAAAUGGGUGGCCUAAACCUCACAAUGGGCUAGCAAUAAUGUGGUUCAAAUUCACAUUUGGCGAGAAUCAAACCUAAGACCUCUCACUGACAAGUGAAGAAGAAUAUCACUAGACCGUAGUCCUAAAAAAAAUAUAGAUCUUAUAGUCUUGCAGUGUUUUAGAUUAGCUAAAACGUUGGUAUCCAUAUUAACUUACCAAAAAAAAUAUGUUGAAUUUGCUACACCUGGAAUUUGUAGCAGAUUUGUCAUUUUAUAAAGGGGUUUUUAACUCAUUUAAAAAAAAAGAAGGGGUUUUUAACUUUAAUUCUUAAAAAAAAUUGAAAUUUAAUAAAAAUCGGAUGUUAGAUUACAUAUUAAUUAUUGUCCUUUAAUGUGUUAUUAACUCAAAUUAAUUAAUGUGUAUUUUAUUCAAUAUCUCACAUUAAAUAUUUGAAUUUAUGAAAAUGAAAAUUAUAAUAAAAUAUAAUUAAUAUAUCAAAAUUAGAAAGAAAAAGAGAAAUAAUUAAAACAUCAAAAUAUAAUUAAUAAAUGAAGUAAUUAACAUAUCAAGAGACUAAAAUUAGAUUUUAAUUUUACUCAUGUUUUUAAUUUAAAGUUAUUUUUAUCAAAAAUUAAAAUGAAGUUUCCUAUUUUGUAAAUUACAACGAUGAAAAAUGACGCGUUGCACGUAAGAAACAACAUCUAUAUUUUCUCUUUUGUUUAAUAUGCCAUCAAACAUAUCCAUCACAUUUUAAAUUUUGUGGAAGUCCCUCUCUCACAUUGAUAAAGUCUGGUUUGUGUUGGACAGCUGUCCAACAGACAACCCAAAAAUCUUCCAAAAACCAACAAACAUUUCUGACCAGUCAUGCAUACGUAUGCAUGGACCCAAUGGCAUAUAAUCAAAAAUUUUAAAUAAUGGGAUCGUAAUGUCAACUUAAAAAAAAGUUUCAUUAAGCUAUUUCAUCGAACAUUUAGUAAGCAAUUGUCAAUUCUUGUCAACAAUGCCAAAAGUUUAUGUUAAAAUAUAUCAACUACGAUAAUUUGUAGAGGCUUGUCGAGAGUGAUGUAGGAUACUACGAAGUAAUAUUGAGAACUCUUAAAGCUUUUCAACUAAAGUAUUUUAUAUAAAAAGAGAGAAAAGAAAAACAAAUAUGAUAGAAGAAAAUAGAAGAAGUAAGAAGAUGAGGUUGUAAGUUAGUUUGCUUUAGCUAUUUAUAAUGGUCAAAUAAAAUAUACAAACAAAUAUACAUGAGAUUUUUAAAGUUGUUGAGAUCAAGGAUAAUCAAUGAUCCCAUUCUAGUUUUGCCAUUGCAUGGGCCGGAUAGGGAUAUGGCUAAAAUAUAAUUCUAUUAAUUGCGUUUUGGGACUUUGUCUAACAACUUGGCUCUCUCUUGACUUGGAUGCCAUGGAUGGCUCAUGCAGUUUACUAAAACUAGUAAUGUACAAUUUUCAGAGACUAUUAAUUAUCAUCUAUCAGGAAAAUUUGAUUUCCAUGCUUGCCCUUUCACGUCGGUGACUUGGAGAUAAUAUUGUUUCUUGUCCGGAGAUGAAAUAAAAUAAAAAGACUUGCACGAUCAUACUGCAUUAUAUAUAUUACACUAUAUAGUCUAUGUUGGGAGUUAUAUAUUAGUUAAAGUAUAAAUAGUAGUCUGUUAUCCUAUAUUGAUGAAGUGCAUAUGUAAUACAAAUUGUAAUUCCUAUAUAUACUCCAUUUUGGAGAUUAAUGAAUAUAUGAGAAAUUCUCAAAUAUUAUCAUAUAUAUUUUUGGUAUUUACCAUGUUUAGUUUAAUAUAGCAUCAAAGCAGUUCGCUCUUGGUGACCUGUGUGCUUUAAUUUUGUGCCCCACAUUUGUCAUGAUUUCCUUCGUCUUGAAAAAAAAAAAGGAAAGUAAAUAGUGUUGCACUACAGUACAAACAGUGCGUAAACAGUGGUAUGCUACAGUGUUCAUGAACAAUAUUUUGCUACAGUGCCAUUAACAGUGAUCUACUACAUCACUUGAACAGUGAUGUGCUACAGUAUUAUGGUAAAUUGUUUUCAUUCCGCUGCCUAUCUUUUGUGCCUUUAUUGUUUGUGAUUUAAUUCAAUGGCUCAGUAUAAUCAUAAUGUUGUUAUGCAUCUUGGUGGAACAAAUAAAUGGAUAAUUGAUACUGGGACCACUAAUCAUGUGACUAGUGACCCUAGAAUGUUUGAUGAGUUAUGUGACUAUAUUCUUGAUCCGUAUAUUACUAGUGCAAAUGGAGCACAUUCCCCCGUGAAUGUUGAAGGCAUUAUCUCUCUUACUUCGACCUUAUCACUGGUCCAUACUUUACUUGUUCCUGAUGUUAAGUGCAAUCUUUUGUCGGUAGAAAAACUACUUGAUACUUUAUAUUGUUUUGCUCACUUCUACCCUACGUAUUGUUAUUUUCAAGACAUUCAAACUCAGAAAGUAAUUGGUCAUGGUAAAAGAAUAGAGGGUUGUACAUCUUGACUAUGGAGGAUACUGUUGUUUCCGGUUCAAAUAAUCAUCAAGUUUUAAGUGCUAAAGUGGAUGACAUACAUCAAAUUUGGUUGUGGCAUUGGCGAUUAGGACGUCUAUCAUUCAGUUAUAUGAAGCAUCUAUUUCCUGCUUUGUUUCGCAUUUGUAGUGAUUCAUAAUUCAAGUGUGAAGCAUGUGUCAUGGCUAAGAGUCAUCGUGCUUCCUUUCCCAUAAGUGAUUCUAAAGCUACUUUGCCAUUUGAUUUAAUACAUUCUGAUGUGUGAGGUCCGGCAAAUGUUACUUCUAAUGAAUUUCGUUGGUUUGUUACUUUUAUUGAUGAUUGUACUCGAUUAACUUAGGUGUUAUUGAUGAAGAAUAAGAGUGAUGUUCAUUUGCUUCUUCAAGAAUUUUGUGCAAUGGUGUAUACUCAGUUUCAGACCAAAGUUAAGGUUUUCAGGUUUGAUAAUAGAGGAGAAUAUGUGAAUCACACUUUGACAUGCUUUUUUCGUGAUCAGGGUAUUAUUCACCAGACGACUACUUUGUUUACACCCCAACAAAAUGGUGUGUCAGAACAGAAGAAUCGUCAAAUAAUGGAGGUUGCUCACUCAUUGAUGUUGGAUAAAUGUGUUCCUAAUCAUUUAUGGGGUCAUGUUGUUUUGGCUGUUGUAUAUUUGAUAAAUCGUGUUCUAAGUAGGGUUCUUGAUUUUCAGACACCACUUGAUGUGUUACAAAAGCAUGUUUAUCUUGUUUCUGUAUCAAAACUUCCUCCGAAGGUGUUUGGGUGUAUUGCGUAUGUGUAUGUCUACUCUUAUCAGCGGAGUAAACUUGAUGCAUGUGUUCUUCGAUGUGUAUUUAGUAGGUAUGCUAACAAUCAGAAAGGCUAUAAGUGUUAUCAUCCUCCGACUCAUAAAACUUAUAUUACCAUGGAUGUCACUUUCCACGAGGAAGUUUCGUAUUUUGUGAAGCCAUCUUCCGACUCUCCACUUCAGGGGAAAAAAGGGAGUGAAGUGCAUAUUUGAAGAGAUGGUAUGGAUGAUGUGUUACAGGCAGAGUUGGGGAUAGAACCUAUUAUGUUGCGUGAUACUGAUCAGUCGGUUAUAGAUAGUGAUCUGUCACCUAUUAUUCCUAAAACUAUUUUUACUGACGACAGAUUAGAUGUGCCCAACGAGUUGCUUGUCAGUAUGUCUGACGAAUUACUUUCUGAUGACCGAUUGCUUGCUUCUGGUAUGUCUAACGAGCUGCCUGAUGAUGGUUAGUUCAGUGAUGGUUCAUCCAGUGAUGAUUCUUUUAACAAUUUGGUACAAGAUAAUGACAUACAUGAGUUAAAUUCUGACGAUUCUUCUAUUUAUUAGUUGCCUCCACGAGCUAAUCGUGGAAAACCUAAGGUACAAUAUGAGCCUGAUAUGCAUGCCAAAUCCAAAUAUCCUAUCAACAAUUAUGUGUUUACUCAUCGUUUGUCCAAACCAUUUUCAUCUUACAUAUGUCAGCUAUCUAGUGUAUCAAUUCCAACAAAAUUGCACGAUGCCUUGUCUGACCCUAAGUGGGUUAAUGCCAUGAGAGUUGAGAUGGAAGCCUUGGAAAAGAAUUCUACUUGGGAUUUGGUUCAUUUACCAAAUGGGAAGAAAGCUGUUGGAUGUAGAUAGGUGUUCACUAUUAAGCACAAAGCAGAUGGUUCUAUUGACCGGUAUAAAGCCAUAUUAGUUGCUAAGGAUUAUACUCAAACCUAUAGGGUGGACUAUCAGGAGAUUUUUGUUCUUGUUGCCAAACUUAAUACUGUGUGUGUUCUUCUGUCCUUAGUAGCAAACCAGGAUUGGCCUCUGUUGCAGUUUGAUGUUAAGAAUGAUUUCCUUCAUGGUGAUCUCAAGGAGGAAAUUUAUAUGGAUCUCCCACUUAGUAUUAGAACAUCUCCUGAAAAAUGUGUUGUAUGCAAGUUGCAAAAAGCUUUGUAUAGUUUGAAACAAUCUCUUAGAGUGUGGUUUUGGAGGUUUACAAGUUCAAUGAAGAAGUUUGGGUAUGUCCAGAGUCAUUCAAAUCAUACUUUGUUUCUAAAUUGUUUCUAAAGCCACAAAAUGGUAAGCUAACUGCAUUGAUUAUUUAUGUUGAUGACAUGUUAGUGACUAGUGAUGAUCAAAAGGAGAUACAACGCCUUAAAAAAGUACCUAGCUAGUGAAUUUGAGAUGAAAGAAUUGGGUGAAUUGAAGUAUUUUCUUGGAAUCGAGGUUGCACAAUCCAAGCAUGGUAUUUUUCUGUCUCAACAGAAGUAUGUUCUUGAUUUGUUAGUUGAAACAAAUCUGUUAGAUUGCAAACUUAUUGAUACUCUGAUUGAGCAAAAUCAUCAUCUGGGCUUAUUUCCGAAUCAAGUUCCUACUCAUAAGGAACGGUAUCAGAGGCUUGUGGGGAAAUUAAUUUAUUUGUCUCACACUUGCCCUGACAUUGCUUAUGCAGUUAGUGUAGUAAGUCAGUUUAUGCACUCACCUAGUGAAGCUCAUAUGGAUGAAAUAGUCCGUAUUUUGAGGUGCUUGAAGAUGGCUCCUGGCAGAGGCUUGGUUUUCUCCAAGAAUGGUCAUUUGAAUGUCGAAGGGUAUACAGAUGCAGAUUGGACAAGUUCUAUCACUGAUUGGCGGGUGGUAAUCUAGUUACUUGGAGAAGUAGAAACAAAAAAUGGUGGCUAGGUCAAGUGCUGAAGCUGAGUUUCGUGGUAUGUCUCAUGGUGUAUGUGAGUUGUUGUGGUUAAAAAAAUUGUUGAGAGAUCUUGGAUUUAAACCCAAUGGUGCUAUGAAACUCCAUUGUGAUAACAAGGCUGCUAUUGAGAUUGCUCAUAAUCCAGUGCAACAUAAUCAAACAAAACAUGUGGAGAUUGAUCAACAUUUCAUCAAGGAAAAUUUGGAUGCUGGAAUUAUUAUGUUUCCGUUUGUGAGAUCUGAAGAUCAACUCGCUGAUGUACUUACUAAGACUGUGUCUAAUAGUGUGUUUUCCAACUCGCUUGACAAGUUGGGCAUGCAUGACAUCUUUGCUCCAACUUGAGGGGGAAUUUUACGAGUUAUAUAUAGUUAAAGUGUAAAUAGUAGUCUGUUGUCCUACAUUGAUGAAGUACAUAUGUAAUACUAAUUGUAACUCCUAUAUAUACUCCACUUUGGAGAUUAAUAAAUAUAUAAGAAAUUCCCAAAUAUUGUCAUAUAAAUUUUUGGUAUUUAUCAUGUUUAGUUUAAUAGUCUAAACAUCAGGAAAUACACCAACCCUAAACCUAAUGGAUUUUAUGAAGCCGCUGGUUUGGGUACACAUUAAUCUAACCUAAUUGCUCUACCACAUUCUAAACACAAAAUUUGUUAUAAAUAGGAUGAUUAAAUUUAUUUUCUCAAGCGGUAGAGUAGUGAACCUCACAGCGACGACAAUCUUCCACCCCCAAAUUCGGGUUUUUUUGUACUAAAAUGGUCUUUUAUGUAUAAGAACUUUACGAUAAGUUUAUUAAAAUUGGCUCUGUAUCUACGAAAUCUCAACAUCCAUACGUUACAAAAUGGAUUAGAACUCCUAGGAAAUAAAAUAGAACAUAUGAUGAUCCCUUUAAAGGGCCUUAUAAUGGGGAAGACUUCUCACAGAAUAUAAGAAGACGAAGAGGAAAACUAAAAACUUAGAACUUCAAGGAGAUGGACUGGAGCAGGGAGAAUGGCAAAGAACCGGAACCCAGAAGACCCGCAACGAAAAAGAAAACACUGUACUUUUUUUAGACAUUUUUUCACAUUUCUUCUCGGCCUUACAGCCAAGUAGCAUUUUCCGACCCCAAAUAAAGAUAGAAGGAAAAAACCAAAUUAAGGUAAAUAAAUUUUCUAUAGCAACUUGGCAAACAAAAACAUACUAGAAGAAAACAAGGAAAAUACAAAGAAAUUAAGGAAGUAUGGGAAACAAAAUAAAUUUAAUACGGGACCAACGACAACGGUGCAAAUGUAUAUUGUUCAGGAAAUAAACUUUUAGCGAAAAUGUGCUGCAAAAUUGACCAAUUUUGCUUCAUAUUCACACUCAAUUUUUUUAAGAAUUAAUAUCUGUAGAGUUUAGACCAAAAAUAAAAUAAAAAACAAAACCAAAAUGCUACUCCACUUUCUUGGUACUUAACUCAGCUCUCCACCUCCUUCCAAUCUUACAAGCUUCUAGAUUUAGAUUUGUCUCAAAUCACAUGCCAACUAACCUGCCCAGCUCAAUUUUAUUUUUUCUUUGGAAAUUCCAGUGCGUCUCUACUUUUGUUUUUCUAAAUCUUACUUACUCCCAUUAUAAUUGGAAUUUUAUAUAUUUAUAUGGAUGCUUUGUCAAGAUAUGAGAGAAAUAGUAGUGAUUCAAAAAGAUGAUUAGGAGCCAAAAAUAUUUAUUAUUUUAGAUUGGUGUUUAUGUUUUUGAACAGUUAAAAACUUUUUUGGUCAUUGUGUUUAUGUUUAAAAUUUAUUUUGGUCACUGUAUUUUAUUUUCUGCUAAUUUAGUUACUGUGUUAUCACAAGUUAGCAAUCUUAGUCCUUCUCAAUCAAACGUUAAAAAAAACGCACAUGACAUGCAAGUGCAGGGGUAACUAUGUAAGUGAAAAUAUAUCUUUGCCCCUGCACGAAACUGUCACGUGCAUUUUUUUGGCGGUUGACUUAUGGUAACGCAGUGACCAAUUUGGCAGAAAAUAAAACACAAUGACCAAAAUAAAUUUUAGAAAUACACACAGCGACCAAAAACGUUUUAAUUUAACCCAUUUUUAACAGUCCAGCCAGCUACCAUGAAAGCUACAACAUGAAAGCUGACUGUCAAAAUUUUGUUUAAAAAUUCAUACACAAUAAUCGUCAUAAGAACGUGCAAUAGGUACUUUGAAUUCUUAAAUAUACUGCAUGGUUACCCUUUCCUUUUGUUUUAUACAGAGAAAUCUUGACAGGCAGUCAAAAGCAAAAUUAUGUUCUUCUAGUGAUAUCUGUGUGCUAAAAAGGAAGUACGUAGCUACGUUCAGUCUUCACCUAACACUCCUAUUUGCACCUAAAAGAUGUGGAUAACAAAGAUUUUGACCAAAAUCACAUUGACAAGUACUUGCCAAAGGAUCACGGAACCUAUGAUUGUAAAAGAUAUACGUGUUGGGCCUGACCGACGUUAAUUAGUUGUUCAUAUUGAUUUGAGAAAUUUGAUUGAAUGAGGAUUAACAAAUCACAAUUGCUAAAAUAUUAAAAUGUAUUAACUGCGACAUAUUGGUUAAAUAAUUAUUGCACAUCGAAAAAAUAUUGACGAGUAAUUAUGAAUUUUUAUUUUCAUUAUUUCAAACAUUUUUAUAUUAGAAAAGCUAAAGAAAAUGAUUUAAAAACUUUGAAUUUUAAUGAUACGUACAAAAUGAAAGGUAAAAUAAAUAGUACCAGAAUUAACUUUUUGUUUAAAUUUUAUUUUCUAUUUGGCAUCAACUUUUGGUUUAAAUAUACUAUAUAACCCUCACAAAAGAAAAAGCAUGGUGUACUAGUAGCUAAAAGACAUAAAAAAGGUUAAUCUUAAUUUAUUAUUCUAAAGUUUCUUAGUUUUCAAUAUUUGGUAUAUAAAGUUUUUUUUAUUCUAGAGUUGUACAUAAAGUUAUAAUUUUGGGAUACUUUCAUACAUCCAUUAAGGUUGCUGUUAAAUUUAUCAUUAACUGAUGAUAUGACAUUUAUGUUGACAAUGACACGUAGAUAUUAAAAAUUAAAAAUUAAAUUAAUAAAAUAAUAAAAAUUAAAAAAAAAAAAAAAUUGGGCGUCUUCACCCUCACCCCUUCUGACCCCCCUCCCUUCUCUCCUCUGCACCCACGCUUCCCCCUCCCUCUUCGACUCCACCCAACGCUGCACUCCGAGGAUUGUUGCCAUCCUUUCAAGCCCAAUUUCGCCCCCAAAUAGGCCCGGGCAGUACUUGGCCAUAAACUUCAAGUCGUAGACCCUCUCGAACAAACGACCUGCCAUCUUUGCGAACUCAGUGGGGGAGCUGAGGAUGGUCUUCCUCGUCACCAGCUUCAUUACAUAGGCCGAGUCGUAGAGGCCGUGGAAGCUCACCCAUACGAGCUGCCCCCUGUGCACCCUUAAAAUCUCAACGAAACCCUCCACAAAAAUAUCCGAAUCAAUGCCGAACUUCCCAAAUUUCUCGAGAUCCAAGCCAUUCGCUUUGAGGAGGGCAAUGGAUUCUGGAACAUGGGGGUCGGUUUCCUCGUCAAAACCCCGAAAGUUGAACUCCCAGGUGCCGCCGACGUUGCCGCGGUCGUCGAACAGGGUGAUACCCACUUGGAUGAGAUUGAGAGAAUCGACAUUAAGGGCGAUAUCUUGGUAACGGAGGCCCUUGGAAGUGCCUCUGGGGGUGUUGCGGAGGAACCCCGGAAAUUCGGUGUCGAACGAGACGAUCGGAAAACGGCAGAGACACCGAUCGACGGAGGGAAGGGGAAAGGUGGGUGCAAAGGAGAGAACGGGAGUGGGGUCGGAAGGGGUGAGGAAGAAGAUGCCCAAAUUUUUUUAUUUAUUUAAUUUUUUUAGUUUUUAUUAUUUUAUUUUUUAAUAUGCACGUGUCAUCAUGUCAUUGUCCACGUGGAUAACACAUCAUUAGUUAACAGUAAAUUUAAAGGCAACCUUAAUGAAUGUAUAAAAUUGUUCCAAAAUUAUAACUUUAUGUACCACUCUGAGAUGAAAAAAACUUUAUUUACCAAAUAUUGAAAACAAAAAAACUUUAAGAUAAUAAACUAAUAUUAAUCCUAAAAAACUACUAAAGGAAAGGGUGAAAGAAAAAAUUAUUAGUUUGUGCUGUUCUCAUGGUAAUAGUGGUUUUUGUAUUGUACGAUCAUGUGUUACAUUUUAUGCAUUAUUAUGUGGAUGAAUGAAUAAGUUAAUUACAUCGCAUGUCAUAGGGUGAAUAUUACAUUAAAAAAUUCUUCAUUCUUGUUAUUCGUCAAAUUAAUGGUUGUGCAUUUGUAUGAGGACCUAGAUCUGUUGAGGAUGCAGAUCUUCACUCGUUGAAGGCCAUCCCUAUCUAUCUACUACUACUCUUUGGAAAAUAAUUGACUACAGAUGAUUGUACAAAAAAAUAAUUAAUAUUAUCUGAACAGCUCACCAUGCAUGUUCAGUAAAGUAAAGCGGAUUUGUUUAUUCAUUGUCUAGUUCAAACUUGGGGAGCAUUUUCUCAUUCUUGCGGUGAUCAGAAUAAUGUGAUUUAAGUCCAGUUAAACAUGCUUAAUUAUGCAUUUAAGCAUCUUUUAUUUAUUUGCUUUCAUUAUUUUUUCCUUCUUAAUGUGUUGUUAUUGUUUGGAACAACAAGUAAGACAAAUCUAGCCAGUUAGCAUUCACCGCAUCACCGCAUAAUGAAAGAUUAUUCAUAUUUGGAAAUGAAUAAUUAAUUAAAAAACUGUAUUAUUAAGGCAAAUGGGCACUUAAUAUUUGUAUCUUAAACCUUCCGAGUCGGAUAUUCGAGUAAAUUAGUUAAAAAGCUAUGCAAAAUGUGAAUGUGACAGACUACGUAGUAAAGUUUGGGUUAAGAGAGAGAGAGAGAGAGAGAGAGAGUAUUUCGCAGCCGGCUGGUCCCUAUGUACGGGAAGAAUCAUAGAAAGUUAGGUAACUACACACAUUUUUCAAAGAUGUCGAUCAUGAAAAAUAUUUGAUAACAAAUUCAGGGAGGACAUACUGCUUAAAUUAUUAACCUAGAAAUAAAGUUCGAUCUCUUGCUUUAACUUUUCUGCUACGUAGCUCUUAUUGCAUUAAACAAAGCCUUAUUAAAGUAAAGAUGGUCACACCCUUAGCCCUUUAGGUGAUACGUUCAGGGAAAUGGUUAAUGUUUUUACAAGCUCUUGUUUAUUUUUAUUUUUUAAUAUUUUCAGAUAUUUUUACAAUCUUUUACUGCGCAGUAAUAGAGUGUAAAAAUCAUAUCUAUGUAUUUAUUUAUUAUUAACUAUGUUUACAAUGAACCUUCUAUUCCAUGAAACAAGAUAUAAAAAUAAAAAUAAAAAGGAGAAGGGCAUAAAUUAACAAAAUUCGGUCAAAGGCCGCAUUGGUCCAAACAUUAAUUGAUAAUCUAUGACAAAUAGUCUGGCCCCAUUAGCAUUAUUUUAACAGUAAUAUUGUUUUUUUACUAAGAUAAUUAAUAAUUGCCAAGUGAAAAUUUGGCAUGAGUACCAUUGUGAAGGGUAAAAACCAAAGCUAUAUAAAGGGUGAGGAGGCUUAGCUUCAGAGGCAGACAACCAAAAACCCAUUCUUAACGAAGGAUGGGAAAAAUGGUGCCUUCACAAGUGACCUCUCUUGUGGUCACUCUCCUAGUGGCAAUAGUCUCUCUCACAUUGCCUUCAGAAACUUCAGCUAACUACCCUUACACCUCUCCACCACCACCGGCCUCUCCUCCCUACCAUUACAAGUCACCACCGCCUCCUUCUCCUUCUCCUCCAGUGCACUACUCACCACCUAAGCAUCCCUACCACCCUAAGUCACCACCACCUCCUGUGUACGCACCACCUAAGCAUCCCUACCACCCUAAGUCACCACCACCUCCUGUGUACCCACCACCUAAGCAUCCCUACCACCCCAAGUCACCACCACCAUCACCAAAGCCUUACCACUACAAAUCCCCACCACCACCUCCUGCUCCAGUGCACUCACCACCCCCACCUAAGGAGCCAUACCACUACAAGUCCCCACCACCACCACCCAAGAAGCCCUACCACUACAAAUCUCCCCCACCACCUCCUCCUCCAGUUCACUCACCACCACCACCCAAGGAGCCUUACCACUACAAAUCUCCACCACCACCACCCAAGAAACCUUACUAUUACAAGUCUCCUCCACCACCACCAAAGAAGCCUUACCACUACAUGUCUCCUCCCCCACCGGUGUACUCACCACCUCCACCAGUGCACUCACACCCACCACCAAAAAAGCCUUACCAUUACAAAUCUCCUCCCCCGCCAGAAUAUUCACCAGCUCCACCAGUGCACUCAACCCCACCACCAAAGAAGCCCUACCAUUACAAAUCCCCACCACCACCACCACCACACAAGAAGCCUUAUUACCCUGUUCACUCACCACCUCCACCUAAGAAGCCUUACCACUACAAAUCCCCACCACCACCUUCUCCUACUCCUCCUAAAUACUCACCACCUAAGCACCCCUACCACUACAAGUCUCCACCACCACCACCAAAGAAGCCUUACCAUUACAAGUCCCCACCACCUCCUUCUCCUACUCCCCCUAAAUACUCACCACCUAAGCACCCCUACCACUACAAGUCACCACCACCACCACCCCAAGAAGCCUUACCACUACAAGUCUCCACCACCACCACCUCCUCCAGUUCCCACACCAUCUCCACCCAAGAAACCUUACCACUACAAGUCUCCCCCACCACCCCCUCCAGUCUACAAGUCUCCUCCACCACCAGUUUACUCACCACCACCACCACCUAAGAAACCUUACAAGCCACCAACUCCUCCAGCAGUUCACCCACCACACGGUUACAUCUAUUCCUCACCCCCACCUCCUCACCACUACUAGAUAUUGAAAGUUUAAUUGCAUCAAGCUGGUAAGCUUCUCCAUUCUAUGCUAUUAUUCAUUAAUUAGUUAGUACUACUGUUGUCAAUUUGGAAAUCACCAUACAACCAAAUGCACACUCUGACGAAAUAACAUAUAAAUUCUAAUUGAAUAGUCUUUAUUUCCAUUUUUGGCUAAUAAUCCUUAUUAGCAUAUGGAUAAUGUAUUUCCAACAUAUCGUUAUUAACUUAUUACUCAAUUAAUAUUUCUUUUUCUUUAAAUUCAGUAGCCGUGUGUAACAAAUAGACCAAUGGCAGAGACCCAACAAAUAACAAUAAUAUGUCUUUGCAGGUAAGGGAAGAAGAAAGGUCAGAAUAAAGAGGGGCUGUUGAAGUCGAACAGCGCGCCUUAUUACCACACAAAGAAGAAGAGAGAGAAAAAAACGAGUCUCCACGCAGCUGCUGAUGUGACGUGUUUUAUGUAUGCGAUAUUCGAUAGAGGUUCAUAUUUUCCUUGGAAUAUUAGACAGUUGUAGGGCACUCAUGUUCCAUGUAUUUUAUUUCCUGUUUCUCAAAAGAGAUGGUAUAUGUAUGUUGUUUGUUUCAACCUUCUAAUGGAGAGGUGAUCAUCAUAAUAAUAAAAUAAAUACAUUCCCCAAAUUUUACUUAAUUUCUCAUAUAUCUGAUAUGUUUUACUCUCUUAAUUAAAGUUUCCUAAUAAUGUUAUAAAAACCACGUAUAUCACAUUGGUGUACCAUUUAUUCUCACAAGUAAUGUCACGUCAAUUAAUGAGUUUAUCUCAUUGAAUAGUAAUUGACUUGCUUACAUUAUAUGGUAAUAAUGUGGUGUAAAUAUGUCGCAUCGUCCUUAACAUCACUCUAAAUUUCUUGGUAAUAAUAUAUGCGAGCAGUGUUAACAAAUCAAAGGAUGAGAAAGAAGAAAAACUAUUUGCAAAUUCUUAUUCUUAAUAUUUCAUAAACACAAAAUAAAGAAGACUAUGAAUUGUUCAAAUGCAUACUAAGUGAUCUAUUUUGGCAAAUCAUCUUAGUAUUGUAUUAUUUUCUUCAAUUAAGUGAUCUAUUUUUUUUCAAUUUGUUUUCCAUAUUUCAUGGCUUAAAUUUGUGAUUACUUUUUCAACAUAAAUGUCAAAUACUUUUUCUAAAAGUUAAUGUUGUCUAUUAUUUAUCCGUUGCUGGGAAAAAAAGUUAAAGUGGUAAUCUUAUUGAUAAAACUUAGUUCACUACACUAUAUAUACAAUUGUCUUCCGGUAGACCAUCAUGGAUAAAAAAUCAAAAGGAUUAUCGAAACCCCAAAAAAUUCUCACUAGUAGAAAGAUUGUUCAAAUUCUACAAUGAACCACAAGAAGUCUAACUCACUUGGUCAUUGCUGAUUGACUAUCAUUACUAGGUUAAAGCAACAUUUUAAGUUUUAACCUAAAUAGGAUCUCAACAAGCUAGGGUUUGAGAUUAGUGUUUUAGGUGACGACAGAGCUCUUUCCUUUCUUUAUGUUAUCCAAACUCUUUUUCUUUUUUCAUUUUUAUCAAGAAACUGUAGGUCUCAAUCAAAUUUAUGGAUUAUGGAUUUUAGUUAUGUAUUCUUAGUGUGGAAAUUUGACUAUAAAAUACGUUGACACUUGUCCUUUAAACUAAUGCAACCGAACAAACUUGUAGUUAACAAUUUUAUUAAGAGAGAUUAUAUUCACACACUUCAAAUUACUUAUGUCACACCUUUCUAAUUUUUUAAUAUUUUCUACACACCACUAACACUUGAAAGAAAAAAUAUUAAAAAAAUUAAAAGAGUGUGGGGCAAGUAAUUUGGGGUGUGUGAAUAUAAUCUCUCUUUCAUUAAAUCAUAACAUGGUGGAGUGAGUAAGUGAUGAGGAAAGACAAUUACGUCGCUCAUAUGCAAAUGAGUGGACAAACCUUCCAAUGGAUGCAACGGUGGUCAUGAAUUAUGAUUGUGUGUAGGGUUUCGAGUUACCGACGUUGACUGUCAUGCAAAUUGAGUACGUAGCCACUUACACUUAAUGGCAGAGGUCGAUGAUUUGCGCUACGGAAAAUGGUUUGAUUUGCUUAUACCAAUUACCAAACAAAGCAAAUAUAUUCGUCCUUUUGGUUUGGUUGUCAACUGUCAAGUAUGCGUUAGAAUUUUUUAAUUUGGGUUAAAUAAAAUAAAAAAACAAUACUCAAAACUUUUUGGGGAUGAGAUCUGAGAAAUUUAAUUUUUUCCCUUCAUAUAUUAGGGAUGAAAGUUGACUUAAUCACACACAAUGGAUCAUACCAACAAUAAUUUAGUAUCGAAUUCAUCAUUCAUGAAAAUCAUAUUUGAGCCUAAAUAAAAAUAAGCAUGUUAUGGGGUCAAUCUACUUUUAUUUACAGAAAGUUGCACGACUCAGGCCCACCAACUUCAAAGCCUAAUUCAAGAUCAUAUCACAAAGCUUGGGCGACCUUUUUGUCCCCCUCCUAGCUAUUCGAGGGCUUGGGUAGAUCUCUCUAUGAAGUGCGUCCACCACGCAGAUGACCAGACCCGGGAAUAUCUCGCCUCCUUAAAUGUUGAUGUACGCAUCAUCUAACAUGCUAAUGUCACCAUUGCAAUUAUGAAAACGGCCAUGAAAUACAGUUUAAGGCCACCAACCAGAAAUUAUAGUCAAUGUCAACUCACCGAUCUACCCAUGCUCCAUCUUAGCCAUGAGAUCGAGGUUGCUCUUGCUUCAUUGCCUAUAAAUAGAGUGGGAAACCUUCAAACUUAGGACCUUCGUCUGAUCCAAUCUCUACAAUUAUAUAAAACCUCGAUUGAUUCUUCAAUCAACCCAACUUCUUUCAAAGUACAAUCCAAUUGCUCUUCAACUACAAUCACAAAGCCUUCGUUAAAAGCAAACAUUGCCUAUGUCCCUGAGAUCUUAAACUUUUACAGCUUUUCCAACCCGUGGUAUGAUUCGGUUGAUGUGUCAAUCCAACCACCCUGAUUUCCUCUUAGAGGCACAUGUUUUGGACUAAGUCCAAUUUGAUACCAGAGACCUCAGUGGACUCCUCUAGCAUUAUCUAUCCCUUCAUGGCCUAAAUCUUGUAAGAGUUUUUACAGCUUUCUUUACAAUUUUACUCAAUUUUCAUUUCAAGUCAUGUAGCUCGGCCCAUCGGCCAAGAUUUUACUUUUAUAUAAUGCUUGUAAUGUUGACUUCAUUAUGAAAUAAUUACAUUUUGUUCAUCACAUUAUUUUCCAUUUUCCUUUUUCAUGUUUUAGGCAAAAACACAAAAAAGUUACAUUGAAUUUUAAGUCCUCAUUCACUCAAGGCAUAGAAAAAAACUUAAACGAACUAGCGUCUCAUUCAAUGCACAACAAUUGGUUAAGAAGUCAGAUCUUUGCGCAACUUUCACACACAUCCAAAUACAAAGAUUGUCUGUUGACAGCCUCCAACAAUAGCACACCCAUUCUCUCAUUUUCUCGAGCCACCUCGUGACAUUGAUAUAAAAAAUAACACUCGGGGAAAAUAAAAGUUACAGUAGUAGUGAAAGAAAUUUAGUUGUUGUAAUAACUGAAUUUUGAAGGGCAUAUUAAGUAAUAAAAAUUAUGAGCAGAUAGUAUUUGCCCCAUUUGGCCUAGUGUCGACCAAAAAUGUACCUUCACCUAGAAAAGGAUUGUAGAAAGUGAAGUUAGUUCAAUAAUUGUCCUCUUUUUUGUUUUCUUUUUCGAUAUUUUAAGUGCUAUAUUGAGACUUUGGGGGCUUUUUUUUCCCAAAGCUCUGGCCUAUUCCGCGAAGAACUGAGAUUGAAUGGAGACUUUAUCAUUCUCACUAAUAUUAUAAGAAAAAUUGCACAAUACCAUUGUAUUAUUAAUUUGAGACAAUGGUAUUAAUUAUAGACAUUACAAUAGUGUCAAGAAUAAUGCAAAUAACUCAUUCUCCUUUGUUUAUUAGGUCGAAUUUCACUAGCUACAAAUAAGUUUAGCGGGGUGUAAGGAUGGAGACUUUAUCAUUCUCACUUAUAAAUCAUCAUAUAUUUAGGUGUGGGGUAAGGGGUUGGGGUAGAUUAGGUCCCAGGUUCGAGGCCUGGUGGGGUGGGGUGGGGUUGAAAAAAAAAAUCAUAUAUUUAGGUGUGGGUUUGGAAGGUAGACUUGAUUCCGCGGUGUUUUGAGGAGGAGGAGGGCAAUCUUAUUCUUGGUUUACCAAUAAGUUUAGCAGGGUGUAAGGAUAGAGUCAUAUGGCACUAUUCAAGAAAAGUUGCAAAACCACUAAAACUUUAUUUUAAGAGUCAAAUCUACUAAAUUCUUCUCCAAGAGACUUGAUAAAGGACUCUAUAUAAUAGCAAGUUGCUCUUUAAAUUUAUAAGUAAUGCCUAAUGGGGCUUUUAAGAAAAUAUUAAUAUUUAAAAAAAAAGUAUUAAUUUUUGUUUUAGACAUUGUAUAAGGAAAAUGAUAAGCAUACAUCCUUUUUAGCCUCGAUCAACACUUAUAUUUAAUCUUGUUCAUUAUUUUUGUUUGAUUUAUACAAUGCGAUGGUCAAAAAAAUAAAUAAAAAAUAUGUUUGAGAAGUUAAAAAUGAUGUGUGAAAAUCACCUGCCAAUAAACAAAUCUAUUAUUAAAACUAAUACAAACUUUAAAACUAAAACUCAUGAUCAAUUAAGAAACGCUCAAGUCAAAUUCAUAAUAGCCAUAAAACAUAAAACACCUAAAUUUACUAUGCCAAUUCAAUCAACAAUCGUAUUAUAAAUAUGUUAAAUCCUUACAUGAAUGGAAUUGUUAGCCCAUCAAUCCAAGUAAUUGAAUGAUCUUUGGAGAUUUACUUAAGAGCAGUAUUAAUAUGAAUUAUGAACUUAUGAGAGAGAAAUAAUCUAUUAUUCUUUUCUCUAUUAGGCUAUAUUAUAUUUAUUUUGUUAUUGAAGAAAUUAUAUAUUGUAUAAUAUUUCCAUGGGGUGCAAAAACAUCGGGGCGCCUUUUUUUAGUUGGGGACCUUGUGCAAUGUCUUAUAUUCCUCCCCUUCAAUCCGGCACUGACAGGAAGGGAGAGAACGAUUUAAAAAAUGAACGGGUUGAAUUUGAAUUGAUAAUAAUUAGUAAAUUAUUUAAACUUUGUUAAAUAGAAAAUAUUGUUGAAAAUGAAAAGUUAAACUGAGUAAUUAAAAUAGUUUUUUUGACACUUUUCACUUGCUUGUUUAACAAAAAUUUAGAGCUUGUCUUUGAGAUACUCUUACUCCUUUAUUUAAAGGACUCGGCUUUUCUAUUAUAGCUGUCGUAUUCAAUAUUGUUGCAAUUAAUGAACUUAAAUCAUUUCGUUAUGACCAAAUUAAGAUAAUCAUGGACAUGUAGAUUAGGUAGCUAAUUCUGAUUUUGACUCGAUCACAUCAAGGUUAUCGUAAUUAAUGUCGGUUAAUUUAAUAUGCGUCUCUGAUCUGAUUACAUUACCAUGGUACGUAAACAUGUGUAUCCAUCUGCAAGACUCAAGAUUUAUAAUUUUGUUUUGUUUACUGUUUUUACGAAGAUAUUUAUGAUUUGAUUUUAUAAUAAAUUUUUUUUUAAAAAAAAAAUCAGAGCAAAACUGCAUCAUGGCCAACAAUCCAGCCAGAUUCAGUUCAACUAUAAUUUUGGCCAAUUUUUCAAAGCUGAUGGAUGUUAGUAGAUUUGUGUGGGGAACACUGAAAAGGCUAGAUUAUGAAAUACCAGAAAAGUAUUGACAUUUCAAUUGCUUAAACCAACCAUGAUGAAGAGUUCUAUGAAUUAUUUUUCAAAAUUUGAUUAAAUUGUGUCAUCCAGAUUAACGAACAUUGUUUCAUUGAAAUUAGUUCAUCAAGAUUGCGUAACUGGGAUAGCUUUCACACUGUAUUAACAUACAAAGAGGCUCUACUUCGUUAGAGUGUUCAAACUGUACACGUAAUUUGACUGCCGUACACAUUUUUCUUAUAUCUCUCCAAUCAACUUUAUUUUUCCUUUUGAAUAAAUUAAAGAUAAAGAAAGAAAACCAUUUUGCCUUAAAUGGCAAGAGAUUGAUGAAAAUCUACUCUAAAGAAGGGACAGGAUAUAUAUAAAUUAAAAUUCAUCAUGUACAAAGUAAGCGUAGGACAUUUUCAUCAUUUUACUUUGUCGUGCCCAUAAUUCUUUGCUCUAUAUAUUUUAUCUUUGUUGGUGGUCGAUGCUUUGGUUGGCUGUCAAUUGCGACGGACUGUCGUAAAAAUUGUCGGCAACCAACCAUGUGUUCUUGCAUGCCCGAUGUUCUCGCCACCUCACGUGGAAAUUUCCAAUGGAAUGGAGGGCCAAAUUUCAGUUUUUAUAUCAAUUUGUUUAUGUUAAAAUUUUCUUGUAAUAUAAGUCAAUGGUUGAAUUUGCAGUAGAAACAAACAAAAUAUGUGGACGAAUUUGAUAAAGUACAAGAAAAAAAAAACUGCAACUUAAGUAGAUGACGUGAUUCUUCACCCGGACAACAAGGAAGAAGACAUGAAAUCGGGAACACUGGAUGACGAAGUACACAAAUUAAACUUAUCUAAUCCAUUUUAAUAAAUUGUUACAGGGUGGCCAGUGGUCGGGAAUAAAUCACAGACUCGCAUUUCAGAUACCUCACGAACUUGAUUUUUGUUACUAACAAAUCACAUGAAGGUGACCAAGAGAAGGUUGAAAUGUCAUUGUGAGACGUCUUUCUUACCCUCGAAAGAUGAACUACCGUAAUGAAGCCACCAACUCAUCUUUUUAAAGGAAAGAAAAUCUAAGCCGUCCUAAUACAUGUUGUCACUCAUGGGAAUUAGAGAAGAAAUAUUCGUUAGCCACUUACAGUUGGAUGCUUAUUAUAUUAACUAGUUACAAAGUCAAAGGUUUUUCAUUGAAUGGAAUCAUAAGAUGUAAACAUCUAGGAUUAAUAUUUGGAAAAUAAUUAAACUCAAUCCCACCGCGUAGUUCUGUAACAAGUUUAUAUGUCUAAUAGAGUUUAUAGAUCUAAUAGUUAGUUAAGAGUAUUCAUUCUUACUCUUGAAGUUUUUUUGUUGACACUCUCUCUUUUAACCAUUUCUUGUAAUCAUUACAAGAAUUUGGAUUCUUUUAAUCCUAGGAGUGCAAUACUAAUUCUUAAUCUUUGUGUUAACCAUAAUAUCAUGACACAUAUCACCAAGUAUGAUCAGCAACUAGGAGAACGAGAGAAGAUGCGUGACUUAAGAAAAUUGAUGUGAUUUUGGAUUUUUUUUUACUUUAUGCACGCCCGCUCUUUAAAAAAAAAGAAAAAAGAUAUGUGAAAGGUGAAAAACAGUUGUUUCCGACAAACAUAAUUCACUUUCUAUAUGUGUACUUUGUAUUUUUUUUCAUCAAGUAAGGAAAUGGUGAAAAGAAAAAUGUACAUUAAUCGUAUCAUAUGAUAUAUUGUUCUUCUCAAGACAACUAAGAAGCUAAACUUAAUGUCAGAGAUUAAGACGUUUUGUUGGCUUGUCAUUCAAGGAAAGCUUAAUACAUAUAAUAUAGAGUUGGGAAGGUUAAUUUGUCCGUAUCUUGUGUAAAACAUGAUCUGGAUUUCAAACCCCCUAGACUUUUUGUUGUCCUACUCACGCAGCCCAUUCCCAAGUUCCAACCCUCCCAACAACCCUAUCCAGGAAGGCCAGCGCAGAUGUUAAGGCUGUGACCAGGGUUGUAAUACCAUCUCCAAUGGAUAAGUCAAAUCAUAAGUGGAAUGUCGCAUAAUUAAAUUUAAAAGUAAAAAAGAAGUUCCAACCGAUAGUUUUUCCGGAUCCUGAAAGAGUGGAUAACCGUGACUUAUCACCACUUGUCUUAUUUUUCGAAGAAAAAAAAAUGUCAAUCCUAUGUGAAUUAACAUGAGUUUUUGGUAUCAAAAUUGACAUGAAAAAUGUGUUGGCAAUUAAUUCUUUAGUGAUUUUAUUGUGCGGGUUUUAUUAAUGGACCAAUUCUAAAGCUUAAAAAUUAUUUUAAUUGAUUUCUUUUUCAUAAUGAACCUACGGAUAUUAAUUAUAAAUUUGACAUUACCACAUCAAUCGUUAAAAUUAACAUUUGACAUUCAUUUUUUGACUUUUCCAUUGAAGAUGUUCCAAUUAGCUUCAAAUGCCUUCGAGUUGAACUCAUGUUUGGGUCGUUUUAGGCAUGUUCAAUCUCUACUUGCAAGUAAAAGGAGUCGGGCACGAACAUAAUAUUCAGUUCGAUACAAAGAUGAGAUAGAAUUUUAGUAUGAUCAAAAGCUCGUAAAACUCUUAACAUCCCAUAUCAUUUUAUAUUGGACAUGCAAUCAUUUGAAAGUAUAGAGCUAUGCUUAAGCACAAAUUAUAUCAUUUGAACCAAGCACCUGGUACUUGGCGCGACUCAUCAACGCAGCUCUUGCAUUUUGUCCUUUGAUUUCUUCAAUAUAAAACCAUAAAUAAAUAGAAAUGUGCAAGAUAAGACGAGUCUGAUAAGAUUUCAAUAGAAGUGUUCCAUACGAACACUGUGCCAAGCACUUUUCAGCUGUUGGAUCGACGGAAUUUUACCACUGCUAGGCUAACAAUAUAAUUUCCGUUCGAUCUCUUUCAUAAACGAAACACUAAAACAUGAAUCGAUUUAUCAAUCACCCGAUUAACAUACUCCAAGAAACAGGAAAACAAUCAGUCACAAAUUACUCGCAAAUCGCAAUUAAAACGAAAGAAAUUGAGAAAUCCGGACUAGGCUACAAGCACGUCAAGUCAAGAUCGGCAAAACAUUUAAUAAAACACCAAAUCUGUCAUAUUUUCUGACCUUCCAAAUAUUCAAGUCCAUAACAGAAUGAACAAGCUGAAAACAGCAGAUGAAAUAUGCACAAAGGGAUACACCAAACGUACCUCCAUCGCGAGAAAGAUACACUGCGUUUUGUGAUCGCAUCUACACCAAGCGCUUCGUCCGACAAAACCAUCACUACACAUAUAGGUAUAGAAAAUAUCUAGCAUAGCGUCUUCAUCUCAUUUCUCAAACAGACAAUAUUAUACAAUGACAUUCAACUGGGUGUUUGCUUCGAUGAGUUCUACAACAGACAGGAAAUCAGAUCAUCAAGCACUAAUCACUAAUGACAUCGUCUCUUGAGCAAUCUCUCUAAUUUUCUCUUUCCUUGAGUGUACAGUAUAACCUCUAUAUUCAUAUGAGAAACAAACGAAAAAAACAAAGCCUCAUCCAUAUCCCAAACACCUAAAAAUGAGCCGGUCAGAAUGUUGCAAAAAGAGAAGUUUCGGGUAUUUCAGAAAUUUUCUGAGUCGUGUCAUAACUCUCAAGUGCCAUUGGAGGGUUCUGAAAUUUCCUGAGAUUUCAUGCAUUUAGUUCAGUGUGGGGCUGAGAGCCUGAUAGAACAAGGGAGAACCAAACAUCAAGAAAGACGAGAGAGAGUGUCCUACCUGGACUUCUUGGAGGAGAGAUUCAAGUUGAGCUGUUAUAUCGGAGAAGGAAGGCCGAUUGGAAGGAACUGAAUCCCAGCAACUCUGCAUUAAUUCCAAAACCUUGGGGUGUCCAUUAUUCGGAAUUUCCGGUCUCAGCCCCUGGGAAAUAGAAUGUCAAACAAAACAUAACUAUUUAGGCACAAAAGAAUUUGGAUAAAAUACUACGCUGAGUGAACAGCCAAACCAGUUGGUAUGUACCAUUGUACAUGAUUUCAGAGGCAUAAUUUAUACUUAUUUAUAUUAUAAGCAACAAAAAUGUCAUCAGAAGAUACAGAAAUUUGUUAUUCACUAAGUUUUACCCUUUUCUUGCGUUUAUAAAAUAUAUGCCUGCUUUGUAACAGCUUUUUUUAGUUUGAAUGGGAGGAUAUUCAGACCACAGGGUUACAAACAUAAACUCAGGCACGUCAUCAAUUCAAACUUUAAUUCGACAUGUAGAAUUGUCAACAUCUGUAAGAUACACACAUGGCAGGCAACAGGACGAAACACCAUAGAGGAAAAUUUAUAAUCAAGUUGCAUGAACUGUGGAUUAACAGGAUUUCUUAAGCAGCAAAUACAAUGCGGGCUAUAGAAAACACGUCUUCAUUCAUCAAUAUUCAAUACACAGACGAACAGAUAUAAAUAAUACAUAUGUAUUAUAAAUGGAUAUACGAAUAAACAAUAAA
rnacentral:lncRNA from 1 species